rnacentral:lncRNA from 1 species
UGCCAAAAUGUUGCUCAUGAAGACAAAAGAUUUGCUGUUUGAUGCAACUGUGUUGCCUGUGAAUGGGAUUAGAACCAUUUCAUGGUGGCUCACAAGACUCCUACUUAUGCAUCAAAGGAUUUUAGACGAGCGGUCGUCUUCUUUGUAUGAUCUAUUGAAAGUUUUUAUGGCUGAGACUUUACAACAUUUUGGCACUUUGGAAAAUGUAACUACUUAUUGGGGCAACCAGUUGCAUGAUAUCGAUCCUUCAGAGAUUGUUUCAACAGUUCAUUUGGAAGCAGGACUGUUAGAACAUAUUUACAGGAGAGUUGAUUCUUGCAGGUGAGUUAUCCUGGGAAAGUUUUAUAUUCGAUGGUCUUAUUUCUGGCUACAAUAGAAAAGUUUUCUCUUGGAAACAUGUUAUUUCCAACAUGGAACUUGCCUGUAGAACUCUCUGUCAUUGAAAUUGAUUUUGUGCAUUGUGUGUAAGGGAGGUGCAAGAACGAAGUUUUAUGUUUGGACUUCAUCAAAAUCUCCCAUUUUUUAAUGUUUAUUGUUUCAAUCAUCGAACAUUAGUUUGAGUUGUUAGCAUUGGAAUUUGCAUUAACUGAUUACUAACUUCCAUCACUACCAUUACUAUAGGACUUCUUCUAUAGUUUCUGCUGAUUUCUAAAAUGCUUUACGGUAUCAGGAAACAUUUUGAAUCAGCUGAAGUGGCAGCUGGUCUCCAGCUUUCGGUUACUGGGGUUCUUGGUUUCCGUACCAUCCACCAGGUAAAGAUCGAAUGUGCAUCAUUUAUAAAGUUGUCGGGAUCUUCCUUCUUAGCUUUGAGAUUGCUCCUGCAUAUAGGUAGAGCCAAAGGCACAAAUGGUACUUGUUGCAAACACAAGCUCAUCCAACACUUCUGAUGCCUGGCCUUCAAUAAGCCAAGUCAUUCAUACACAUGAUUCUACUAUUGGUGAUGCCUCCGAUGUUUUUGUGACCCCAAAAUUAUUGGGGAAUAGUCAUGAAUCUGAAACUGGAGUCCAAUGCAAUCAUGCUGGUGGCUCAGCAGCCCAUUUAAAGGCAAUCCAACAGGCAGUGAUCUUGUCGAAGUGCCUUCUAAUAGAAAAGAGCUCACGGCAAGAUGAAAUGCAAAGUAAGUUGUUUUAUGGUUGGGCGGUGUGUAGUCGUCUUGUUAAAUGCCAUAAGACGUUAAGCAUAUUGCUAUUUAAUUUUUAAAUCAUUCUCAGUAAUAAUUCCUUUAGUAGAUUGAUGAUAAGAGAUUGCAUUACAGAUGAUAACUGAGCACAAUUUUUGUAGUUGUAUCCCUGUACAUCCAACUUAAUAUCCUCAUUGUAUUCACAUGCCUUUUACGGGUGUUAUUUCUGGAUGCCGAAUGCUUUGUUCCACUUCUGGAUACCAAAUGCUUUGUUCCACAAAGCUGAGCUGGUUGCAAAGCUAGCUGAUGAGGUCAACAAGUCCCUUCAGUAAUUUGAGGAUGAACACUGUGUUCCUGAAAGUCUUACUCUAAUGAUACUUAAAGAAGCAAUGAGAAUGGAUGUUGCAGCAGCUUUGCCUGAACUCAACCACAGUUCCAAACAUGGAACAUGUGAAAACCAAAAAUGCUUUGUUUUUUUUCUCUUUAUGACUUCUAUAGUUGCGGAAUGUAUUAGAUAUUCACCUAAUCAGUAGGCCUUGAAGGGAUCCCAUGUUAGCCCCUUGAUGUUGGUCUGUAACUAAGUAAAUACUUGACCUUGAAAAAGCUUUUGGAUCUGUUGAUUUGGUCAUUUGCCGAUUUAUAGCUUGUUUUCUGAUUCAGGAUGGGAUAUGGCUCCAUACAUAGAGGCAAUUGAUUCACAGCAGUCGUCAUGCUUCAUUGUAAGUAUAUAUACAAUACAGUGUCAGUUUUUCUUGAUGUUAAAUUUCAUAUCUUGAAGUGGUAUUUCUGAUUCUCACAUGAUUUUUCCAUCUUUCAGCUAAAGGUUUUCUGUGAUCUCUUAUGUAUUAGAUGGGAGUCCACCCGUAGUCGCACAAAAGGGCGUGCUUUAGAGAUGAUGGACAAACUGGUAUGAUCUGUGAGCCUUUUCUUCUUAAAUAUUUUGUUACCUAAACAUUUUCAUUCAAAUCGACAAGAGUUGCUUAUCCAUCUAUAGAAGAUUCCAAACUUUCUGCAGCUAGUACUUUAUUGGACCCAAAAGCUUUUUUGCUUUUUCUAAGUUGCUAAUCAAGACUAGAUUUCUCUCCCUUAUAUCGCUAGAUAUCCCAUUAAUCGUUAGAUUUAAUUGUCUAGAGAGAUUAUGUACUUGCAUCUCUGCUUUUCACUUCGCAAGUGAUUUCAUGUGCUAUCUUGUAUUCUGGUUCAAGAUUUUUGAUGGUUGCUUACCGUCAUAUUUUGCUUUGUUUCAGGUUGAGGGCAUUUCUAAUUCUUCUCCCGGUGUGACUCAAAGGAUUCCCUUUUGUUAUGUGAUUUACGUUCCAACUAUUCCUGCCCUGCGAAAGUAAAACUAUUUCUUCUGCAUCUUUGAAUGAUUGUGAUUUAAUUUUCUUGUCAUUUUGCCAACUAUCAUUAUGCUGUCAUUGUUUCAUAUCUUAGUUGACAUAUGCUGACUUGGUUAGAGUUUAAUUGCUCUGUUUAUUCUCUUCAUAAUCUGUCUAUUUCGAUUUUUCUUGAUUUUAGGGAAUUUGCUGAACUUUUAGUAAGCUGUGGCUUGAUUGGAGAGGCUAUUAAAAUUUUUGAGGAUCUGGAGUUGUGGGAUAAUCUAAUAUACUGCAACUGGUAUGGUGUCAUAGAUAACGAUUAUCCUAAUCUCUCUCUCUCUCUCUCUCUCGUGUUGCUAAUGGGAGUUGGUUUUGUGUAUGAUGAAAAAAACAGCCUAUUGGGGAAGAAAGCAGCAGCUGUUGAACUAAUAAAAGCAAGGCUGUCUGAAAAGCCUAAUGACCCUAGAUUAUGGUUUGUUGAUGAGCCUUUUCUACGAUCCAUUUUAUAGUUACUUCUCAUUUCAGUUAAAUCCAUUGUUGAUGCCACUUAUUGCAAUCUAGGGAUAAUUGUUCAUUGGAUGUGAGGAUAUUGUCAAAAGAAAAUGAAACAUUUUAAUUUUAUCUUUUACUUGCUGUAGCCGAUUUAAAAGCUCACUGUGCGUUCUUACUGAUUGCUUUUGGUCUUGCAUUUGAGUCAAUGGAUUUUAUACUCAUAUUCUGACAUUUAUUGUUAGUCUUCUGAUGGUUCAGCAUAUUAUCUAAAAGAUAAGUUUUUGCCGAAGAAAAUUUGCAUUCUUAACUAGAAAAUGAGGGGCCCGGGGGGGGGGGGGGGAGCAACAGGAGACUGUUUUCCACUUAUCCUCUUCCCUGCCUGCAUUUUAGAUGAUUCUGAUGCACCAGGUGCCGUGAAAUGGUUGAGAAAUACAUACCAUCAAGUGAAUUCUGAAAAUCAUAUCCUUUUUGAAAAUAUUUGGUGCUAGACAUUUGAAUAUAUAUGGCCACAAUUUAAACAAUAAAGAUUUUCUGCAUUGAUUUCUUAUAAUGGAUAUAUGCAUGUAAGUAAAAUAUGAUAUCUUUUGAUUAUUGGCCCAUUUGUUCAGAAAGAAGGAAAAAAAAAAUACAUGGUUGAAAGAUUACUGUUACUUGACCUUAUUUAGGUCUCUUCACUGCCAUUUGUUUCUUAUAACUUAUGGUGAUAAUGUAGCCAGAAUGAUGAGUUGAAUUGUGGGUUGCUGACUUGUGAUACAUUUUGUAGGUGUUCAUUAGGUGAUGUUACAAAUAAUGAUGCCUGAUAUGAAAAAGCUUUGGAAGUUUCGAAUGAUAAGUCAGCUCGAGCUAAGGUGAUAUUGUAGUUCACAUUAUGCUUGUACUGUGAUCAUUUUUUAGUUAACAUAUCUUUAUGUGAAUCAGAGGUCUCUAGCUCGUAGUGCUUACAAUAGAGGGGAGUAGGAGACGUCUAAAAUCCUUUGGUAUGUUGCUUUAAUGCUUUACUUCUCCUUCUGCCACACAGUAAUUUGCUGCAUUGACAACUGAUAUGGCUGAAUGACAAUUUACCCUUGGUUUUGUCUCAGGGAGGCUGCCAUGGCCUUGAAUUCUUUGUAUCCGGAUGGCUGGUUUGCUCUUGGUGCUGCUGCAUUGAAGGUAUCAUAUUUUUGUAUUAGUAUGUGUUUAGUGUGGAGAGAUUUCUUAUCCUUUUGCCCCAAGUUUCUGAAACUCUCGGCUGAAAUAUAAAUACAGGCUCGGGAUGUUGAAAAGGCUCUGGAUGGGUUUACUCGGGCUGUUCAACUUGAUCCAGACAGUGGGGAAGCUUGGAACAAUAUUGCUUGCUUGUAUGCUCUUUUCUUUGUCAUCAUGUCAUUCCAUCCUCUUGCUCUGUAUUCUUUAAUAUGGUGUCAAUCACUUUCAUCUUCUAUCUGCAAGAGUAUGCUUCCCAUAUUUGGUUUACUUUGUUUUGACUUUCUUGUUGCAGUUGUUCUAUAUAAAUUUUAUAUGGUUCCAUAUUCCCUUGAUGAGUGAAUUUAGUUGCUGCAAAUGCUAAGAGCUAGAUAGUACUGUUAUAAUUAGGAAUAGGGCAAAUAUUAGCCAGCUCUUUUGAGGAUUAUCCAUAGCAUAUGCCUCCGUCGUUUUCAAAGCAACUGAAGUUCUCCUUUUCGUCUUAUUUAAAAGAAAAAAGCACAAAUUGCUUCCCUCACAUCUCUCUACAGUCUCUUUUCUCUCUGUUUAAUUUUUUCUUGUGCUUAUUAUUUGUCUUUUAAUGUGUCUUUUCUUCUUAUUUUAUACUGUACUAGAAUUUGUGCAGUCUCAAUUUCAUCUUGUCUGUGACUUACUGUAUUUUUCGCAAUUGUGGAACUUUAUUUAGCAGCAUAAUUAUUAGUUAGUGAGACAUUAAUUGGUUAAGUUAGCAUUAUGUUUUACUUUGAUGUUGAUGGAAUUUGUUAAUGCUAAUCAAAUUUUGUUAAUCUCUCUCUCUCUCUCUCUCUCUCUUAAAAAGAAGGCAAACAAAAAGCUUUGUGAUUUCAUUUUUGUUUUCUAAAUUUGUUAUCUAAAGGAAUGACAAGUUGACAACUCAGCCUCUCUCUCUCUCUCUCUGUGUGUGUGUGUCAGGGAUCUGAUUUGUGGAAAGAUAGAGAUCGGUUUAAAAGGUUUUCAUAUGCAUCCUUGGAACUUUGUAAGGUUUACAUGGAAAUUUCUUCCUCUUCUGGUAGCCGUCGAGAACUCUUUGCUGCUGAGAUGCACCUGAAGAACUUACUUAAACAAGUAAAACAUCUUAUAAUUCGAUAUUUAAGACACUUACAGUUGGUUUAAAGAUUGCCUUUUCUGUUUCUGUUUUUGACUGGUUCAGGGUAAAACUUUUUCUCACUGUGUUAGAGUGCAUUUCUGUUAUUAUAUAGAUUCUUAGUAGAAAAUGCGCUUUUUGGAAUCUCAGGCUGAAGGAUUUUCUGACAUGGAAGAGUUCAGGGAUCUUCAAGCUUGCCUUGAUGAAGUGAUGACGAAACUCCAAUCUGGUCCCGUGGCUACCUAAGUAUCAGGAAUGUGCUAUUUUUGAAAUUUAGUAACAAGGUUAAAUCUGCAACUAAAAGCUAUUUUAGUUGUACUGUAGUGGAUAUCUUGUAUUGUUGUAUCACCUUUUCUGUAACAAAACACUCUAGUUUUAUUAUUUUUAUUAUUUUUGUAUUUUCGGUGCUGUAACUAAUCUCAAUGUAAAUAUAUGGCUUCAAGUUAUUUAAAUGUAACAUCAAGUGUUGUUUUCAACCUCUGUUCUUUUGUGUAUAGCUUACAUGCCGUGAUUUCAUUAACCUCAAUUUAAGGACAAUUUCAUAUCUUUUUUCUUUCUGCUUUUCUUUUAUCAUUUAAGAACAAAUAUGCAUAUAUUUCAGAAAGAAUUUAAACAAAGCAACCGAACGUUGCUGGUUUCUAUUAUUACAUUGACAGCAGUAAAACAAAGAAGCAACUGAAAGUUAUCUUUAUAUGAGAAUGAAAGCUUUUCAGCAGCAUAAGCCUUUCACUAUUCAAUUCCAAACAUGUUCCUCAACAUGAUAACAAAUUCGUAGACCUUUUCUGGGUCUGGAAGGAUCCUGGCAACAGUAUCUCUUUGCAUGCACUUGUUCAUCCAUGCUGAGAAUUUGGGGCACUCAUUCUCAACCUUAAAUCCCCCAAAUUUCUCAACCGCGUAAAACCAACAAGUCAGUGGAAUGGCAAUCACAUCAACGAAUCCAAAGCUAUAAUUUUUUUUUGCUUUUCUUUUAUCAUUUAAAAACAAUACACGCACACACACGCGCAUAUAUUUCAGAAAGCAUUUAAACAAAGCAAUCGAACGUUGCUGGUUUCUAUUAUUACAUUGACAGCAGUAAAGCAAAGAAGCAACUGAAAGUUAUCUUCAUAUGAGAAUGAAAGCUUUUCAGCAGCAUAAGCAUUUCACUAUUCAAAAUCUUCACAUGAUAACAAAUUCGUAGACCUUUUCUGGGUCUGGAAGGAUCCUGGCAACAGUAUCCCUUUGCUUCAAAAUCUCUAUAAAUUCAUUCUCCGCCGUCUCUCGGACCUCGCCCUUGCUUUUCCAUAUGUUGCAUACUGCAUCGAAUACCUGCCAAAAAAGUGGUGUCAUCUUUUAAGUUCGCAUUUAGAAAGAUACAAACAUUUAUACUUGAGAAUUAUAGACUGACCUUCUUGUCAAUAAAAUCUGCCCAGAACCUUGCCUUAGCUCUCUCAGAAGCACAGGAUGGGAGAAGUGGUGGCGAAGGCCAAGUCUCGUCAAUUUAGUUAACUAUAAUAGUGGAUUCACACAAUGGUUCCCCAUCGUGUAGCAAAACUGGGACUUUCUUGUAGAUGGGGUUUGAUUUGAGCAACAGGUCACUCUUGCCCCCAAACAAGUUCUCAGCUCUGGCUUCAUAUUCAACUCCUUUCUCAGCCAAUGCAAUCUUUGCUCUCAAGCAAAAUGGGCUAGCCCAACAAUCCAAAAGAACAACCUCUCCCUUGGACAUAUUCGCUUUCUUUGUUCUUGUUUCUUUUACUUGGUUGAUAGUAAUUAAACCUUGAGUAUCAAGGUUGGCAUUUAUAAAGUAGAUAAGAUGAAAUUCCCAAAGUUUGUGUCGCAAUCAAGGUUUGUUCGUUGGCACUUCCAUAAAGGAUGUGGCAUUGUUCUCAUCAUUUCUUAGUUUUUUGAAGCUAACUGGUUUACUUGGCUUUCAACAUGCACAUGAACAAGUUUGUCUUGUGUAUGCGGCGUUUACUAAGGACAAGCAGAAUCGUAAGUAAGCAUUUACACUAAUCAAUCGGUAUUGUCCAAUGAAAAUAAGUAAUAUUUCUCAAAAUAGGCUCAUUAAGCCCAAUUCUGGUGCUAGUUAUGUUCAACUUUGAAUCAAACUUGGAAACAUUUUUCUUUAGAUUAUUAUUAUUAAUUUAGAAGAGUCAAAAAGCUAAGAGUAUCGUUGGUAAAACUCAAACAUGUGUAAUAUCAUAUAUCACUGGUUAGUGAGUUUUGUAAACUUUCUUAAUUAAGACAACACGUUUUGGGUUGUAAAUUCUAACACAAUAUCUAUUCAGUUGUUCAACCUGGAAUAUUACAAUUAUAUCAAUAUUGUUUGAUGUGGGCACACAACCCUGCGUCUUCUUAAUUAGGACAGCCAGUGAAAUCCACUUGUUAGCGAUGCAGGAGAUGAUACAUAACUUGUAUGUGCACGUUGGCGGAAUAUCCCAAUUAUGCCCUCGUUUGUCUUCCUGGUUUUAAAAAAUCUAUUUAUCUAAUUGCUUGUUAUAAUGCUUCUAUUGCGGUGUUAUUCGAGUUGUCAUUUUCAGUUUUAUUUUAUUUUUUCUUUAAACAUAGUUAAUUUGAAAUGUUCUUUGAUAUCCAUUACACUUGAGAUCAUCAAAUAAGUGAUUCUCGAACAUAAUUGCUGUUGUUACUCAGAAUAAGAAAAGAAAACAAAGUAUAGCUAAGAUAAAGCAAAUGGAAAUGAGAGCAACGUGAUUUUGCAAAGUGAACUUCACACUAUCAUUAAACCGAAAACAAUAGCUUAAAUAACGACCCACUAGAAUCAUGGUCCAAAGAUUGUGCCAUCAACUACAAAAAAAUAACCAACAUCAGAAAAGUAGUAACAGUUUGAAACUUUCAACUAAGAGUUGAUAGUAACCAAAGAUUGUAUUCUUUAUUGUCAUUUGAGAGUAACCAAUUACUUCCGCAGUCACGUAAGUUGCUGGUUGGCCUCACACAUUUUUGACCAGCUUGUUUCUGAAGGAAACCAGCUGAGCUGCAGCCUCUUCCAUGCUCAUUCGUUCUCUCGGCAACUCUGAAGAGCAAGUGACUCCGAUUCCCAGUGCUGAAACCAAGCACUCUUUAACACUAAAACUUCUGGUCCAUUGUUUGUGAGCAUUGGCCUUGCUUGUCUCCCCUUCUUCUCUUUCUACAAGAAGCACUGGAUCAACAAUUUCAGCGAGUCUUUCAGGAAGAGCUUCCUUGACAAAAUUAUGUAGGGUUAGAUUGCCUGUAAACAUCUCAUUCGUCGGCCUCUUUCCUGUAAACGUUUCCAGCAAGAGUAUGCCAAAACUGUACACAUCUCCACUUUUUGAGACCUCACUCCCCAUUCCGUACUCUGCAAUUUGAAAAUUAAAACUGUUGGUUCAACUAGUAAAAUCUCUAAGGAUUUCAAAAGAAGUUAAUUAAAUUAUAGUAUUUACCUGGAGCAGCAUAACCAACGGUUCCUUUUACUCCAAUGGAGCUUGAUUGAUUAGAUGACAAAUUAUUGGUGGCUUCCGGAAGGAAUUUUGCUAAUCCAAAAUCACCUACAUGGGCAGUAAAUUCACCAUCCAGAAGAACAUUGCUUGGCUUGAGAUCACAAUGGACUAUUGGAGUUUCGCAAUAAUGAUGAAGAUAAUCCAAGGCGGAAGCAACAUCAACGGCAAUAUUCAGUCUUUGGAGGAGAUUUAAGUUCCUUGGUGCCUCAGCUUUUGGAUGCAACCAUUCCUCCAGGCUCCCGUUGACCAUGAACUCAUAAACUAAAGCCUCGAAAUCAUUUCCUUGGAAGUCAACACUUGCACAGGAAGUUAUUAUUUUGACAAGAUUCCGAUGCCUAAUACUUCUCAAGGCUUGACACUCCGACAUGAAACUCUUUGAAGCUCCUCGAUGUUGAAGAUUAAGCACCUUAACUGCCACCGGCGUUUCAUGAUCAUCAUGAUUGAGGAUUCCUUUAUAGACCGAACCAAAGCUACCGGCACCAAUCAAGUUUUCCAGAGAGAAUCCAUCAGUUGCUUUGAACAGAUUCUCAUAGGACACUCGUAAAACCGAAGCCAAUAAUGCUGAUAGAGGAGUGGCCGGCUCCCUUUUCGAUUUGCUCUGCCAUGAAGUAAUUAUUAAACACGACAUCCCUGCCACUAACAAAAUUCCUGUAACUACAGGAAUAAUCAGUUUCAGGGAACGGGAACGUGAUUGCUUUGAUUCUUUGAUGGAACAAGUAGAUAAAUGCAAGUCAGAUAUGCCACCACAGAGGUUAUCAUUUCCGUCAAGAGAUGUAGCACUUGAAUUGCUGAAGACUCCUUUUAUUGGUACUUCACCCUCAAAAUGAUUAAAAGACAGAUUUAAAUUCUGCAAAAAGGGAAAGUUUUCCAGAUAUUUUGGAAUCCGGCCUGACAAAUUGUUCCGCGAAAGAUCAAGAUUCUCAAUGCCUCUCAAAGAACUCAAUGAUGAAGGGAUAUUCCCUUGAAAGAAAUUACCGUUCAUGAUGAGUUGUUCCAACAUAAUGCAUCCUCCUAUACUGCUUGGAAUUUCGCCAGACAAUUUGUUCUCCGAUAUAUCUAUAACACCCAGAUUUUUCAAGAUACCAAAAGUUGAGGGCAAAUGACCAUUCAAUUUGUUUUGAGAUAGAUCAAGAUAGAUUGACAAGGAAGAGAGACCAAUCACUUCAGUGGGUAUGGUACCACUGAGGUUGUUAUUAGAGAGAUUUAAUGAUAUUAAAUUUUGGCAUUUCCCUAGACUUGAUGGAAUGCUUCCCUCUAACACGUUUUCCCCAAAAUGUAGUGUAGUUAACGAUGUCAAAUUUCCUAUAGAAGAUGGAAUUUCCCCCAAAAACUUGUUCCCAUUCAGCCACAACCUCUGCAGCUUUUGAAGAUCUCCUAUACUUCCCGGAAUUCGGCCUGUGAAUUGGUUGUCCCUGUUGGGGAAAAAGUAGGUUUUUAAAUUUGUAUAAAACCUUUUGAAGAUCGCUCUCAUAUAAUAUAUAAGAAUUUGUAUUCUUGAAAUCGUACCUUGAAAAUCUGAGUUGGCUUUUUCCGCUGAAGUGAUUUAGGCUCCUAGAUCACGAUCCGCCACCACCACUCCUGUUAGAUCACGAUCCGUCACUACCACGCUUGUUAGAUCACGAACUGUCUCCAAUGAUCUUCCAAGUUAUGACUCAGGUUCGAUCUGCACUUGACGUGUGGGCGCCUUUAUCACUACCAAAGCAACUAGCACGAGAAAAUUUUUCUCUCAAUAAUGGAGAGAAAAAUAUUAUUCUCUGAUUUGUAUAAAGUGACUUUACUUUUUUCUUUAGAGAAAAUAAGCCUUAUAUAUCUCCUUUUAGUGAAAACCCUAGGCUCCAAAUAAUGCCCUAAAUAAAACUCACGUUAUUUUCUUUUUCAAUAGGGGACCCACCUUGUAAAAUAACAUAAGGCCCCUUAUACAAAAGCUAAUUAAAUGGAGCCUCCCACUAAAUGAUAUAUUUAGGCUUUUGACCCAAAUAACUAGUUAUCUUACUUAUUAGUCCAGUAGUGGUGCAGUCAAUUAAAUGAGCUAACCCGGGGAUCAUUUGGGAACAUACAAUAGUGGCUACAAUAAUUAGGCCUGUAAUUAAACUAGCCCAAUUAUUUAAUUCCAAAUCUACUCCACUAAAAGAUUGGAACUGACUUCCAUAAUUGUAUGCUCGAAUAAUAAUUCGUCCUAAGCCACAUUGAUUUCUUUACUGCACAAUCCUUUGUACCACAUCGUUAAUUAAAUUGAUAUCUCAACUGUCCAAUCAAUUUAAUAACAUCUUAUUCCUUGAUCCUUACUGGUUUUCUCUAAUGAUCAUUUUCAACAUACUAAAUAUGUUGACACACUCUGGCCAGAGAAUUCUAUGAUCAAGUGCCGAAAACCCAUCAAGAGAUGUGUUGUACAAAUUCUAUAUUGUUAAUCCAUAACUCCAAUACUUAUAAUUGCUCCCACCAAGAUACCGGGUAAUCUUGACCACAAGGAUGUGUCGUGCCCAUUGGUAACUCAAAUGGAAUAACAAUUACAAUCAUGAAAUCAUAAUUAACUCAAGAUUAAGAUUACAGUAAAAUCAACGCCUAUGAGAUUUAAUAAGUCUGACAGUUAUUACAAAGUUAAUUAAAUCUCAUAUGUGAUCCUGUUCAAUGUAGUCGUACUACAUCAAUAAAUUCAUACAUGAUUAAGACAAAUCAUUCAAUGAAUUUAUUACAGUCUAUACCUAAAUAAAGUGCCCAACUUUAUUUAUCAACUGCGAACUAAAUUUAUUUAAUCAUAAGAUAACUUGUAUUUAUGUCUUCUGUGAAUCCACAUGUUGAUCACAUAAAUACAUAUAAUAUGAUUAAAUGGACUUUAAUACAAGUAUUAAUGCAAUUAAGAUAUUUGAAUAAAAUACCUCAUUUAUUUUAUUAAUCAGAAAAAUAGUUUAUUACAAUUAAAUAAACACAUAUGCUUUUAAAGAGCAUAUUUUCCCAACAAUCUCCCACUAGCUCUCAAAGCAUAUCUGGCAUAUUGCACAUGCUCUAGGGCUCUAAGUGCAGGUUAUAAAGGUUUCCCACUAAUGGCCAUUGUAAUAAGAUCUGCCAUUUAGCAUUUAAUGCCAUUUGGGGUACUGUCAUAUAACCUUUCUACACUAUUCCCUUAUAAGAUGAUACUUCCUUUCAAUAUGUUUUGUUUCUUGUGGUUCCUUGGUUCCUUAGAUUGAGCUACCGCACCACCAUUAUCACAUAAAUAGUUUAAGGGGUGCAGUUACAACAGGUACCACCUUAAGAUUUCGUAGGAACUUGCGGAGCCAUAUAGCUUCUUUUGCAGCUUCAGAUGUAGCCACAUAUUCAGCUUUAGUUGUUGAGUCUGUGAUACAAGAUUGUUUCACACUCAUCCAACUAAUAGCUCCACUUCCCAAUGUAAACACAUAGCCGGAAGUUGAUUUUCUGGAAUCCUUAUCUGACAUAAAGUCAGAAUCAGUAUAACCCACUGGAAUAAGUUCAUCACCAGAAUACACAAGCAUAUAAUUUUUAGUUCUUUUCAGAUACUUUAUAAUAUGCUUGACUGCAGUCCAGUAUUGAGGUCCAGGAUUAAAUUGAUAUCUGCUAACCAUCCCUACCGCAAAACAGAUGUCUGGCCUAGUGCAAAGCAUGGCAUACACGAGACUUCCCACAGCGUCUGCAUAAGGAACUCGUCUCAUUCUCUCUAUCUCUUCAGAUGUUUUAGGUGAUUGAUCCUUAGAGAAUGUAAUUCCAUGUCUGAAUGGUAAUAAACCAGUCUUGGAAUUUUUCAUGCUAAAUCUAGCCAAUAUCUUAUCGAUAUAGACCGCUUGAGACAAGGCUAAAGUUUUAUUCUUCCGGUCUCGUAGUAACUUGAUACCAAGAAUAUAACUUGCCUCCCCCAGGUCUUUCAUAUCAAAUUAUUUUGCUAACCAAAUCUUUAUUGUAGUCAAUACUCCUAUAUCGCUUUCAAUCAGGAGAAUAUUGUCUACACAAAGAACUAGGAAGGCUACAAAUUUUCCCUGAAUUUUCUUGUACACACAUGGUUCAUUAAUGUUCUGAAUGAAUCCAAGUGAUUUAAUCGCUUGAUCAAAUCUGAUGUUCCAUGACCGGGAUGCUUGCUUCAAUCCAUAAAUGGAUCUCUGCAACUUACAUACCAUGUGUUCUUGGCCUUUUUGUAUAAAUCCAUCUGGUUGCUGCAUGUAGAUGUUUUCUUCAAGAUGCCCGUUAAGAAAGGCAGUCUUGACAUCCAUUUGCCAAAUUUCAUAAUCUAGCACUGCAGCAAUGGAGAGCAGAAUCCUGAUGGAUUUAAGCAUAGCAACCGUAGAAAAGGUUUGCUAAUAAUCGAUUCCUUCUUUCUGAAUAAACCCUUCGGCUACUAAUCUUGCUUUAAAUGUUUCCACCCUUCCGUCUACUCCUCUUUUUCUCUUGUAGAUCCACUUGCAGCCUAUAGGUUUUACCCCAUUUGGUGCCUCUACAAGUUCCCAGACUUUAUUGGAAUACACAGAUUCCAUUUCUUGAUUCAUGGCCUUUUUCCAAAAUUUAACAUCUAUAUCUAUUAGAGCUUCGUUGUAACUAGUGGGAUUUUGUACAUGUUCAUCUGAGAUAGCCAUAUAGGUUUCUCCCAAAAAUAUGUAUCUCGCAGGUAACCUAGUUACCCUCCCACUACGACAAGGUUCUAAAAGUGAUGGUUGUUCAAGGAUAAUCCUGUGCUGAUCAACUGGUUGUUGCUGUUCUUACUGUUCUAUAACAGGUGUUGAAAGCUGAGCAUCAACCUGAUCUCUUUUAUUUCUCUAGUUUUACCUUACUCUUAGGUUAUAAGUCAUUAUAGAGUCUUCCUCAAAGAAAGUAAAGAAUAUUUCUAUAAAUACAUUCCUAUCUUGAGGACUAUAAUUCAGACUUUCCCUUAUUCCUUUAAGAUACCUAAAACAUGCAAGCUUCUGAACACGAAUCCAUCUUGUUUAUCUCUGAUUCUAGUAGAAAUACUAGUAAACUCCAAAUACGAAUGUGUCUCAAACCAUGUUUGUGACUUUUUCAUAAUUUCUUGGAGUAGUAGACACCGAGAUAGAUGAAACUAAGUUCAAUAAACUUUGUAGUUUUAAAUACUAGUAUCUGGAAUCAAAAAAGGUAAAUGAUAAACCACUUAGUAUAUAUCUUGUCUUAUCCAAAAGAAUCUUGUUUCUCCAUUUAAUUACACUAUUGUAUUAUAGUGUUCAUUGACAACCAAAUAGUGCUUGAAUUCUCCAUAGAGAUAUUCUUUGUUUCGAUCAUAUCGAAGUUCUUUUAUGUUCUUGUCUAAUUGCUUCUGUCUCAUCCACGUACUCUUUUGAAUUUCAAAAGCAAUGGAAUCAUGACGCAUUUAGACAAACAUAAAUAAAAUGAAUAUUCAUCAACAAGAUUGAUAGAAUACUCAUAACCCCUUAUAACAUGUAAACUGAUUAGUCCGUAUACAUUUGUAUGCGCUAAAUCAUCAAAUACAUAGUUAUGCUUUUAGCUCAAAAAGAGCAUCCUUGUCAUAUUACUUUUCUAAAUAAGAUUUAUAGAGUUACAAUGAUCAAUCUUAACAGGCCAACAAGUCUAUCAUUAAUCAUUUUCUUAAAAUCUUAUUAUAGUUUAUAUGACUUAGGCAUAAUUAUCAGAGGUUAUUUUUGGUUAGAAGAAACAUUUCUUUUCUUAGAUAAAUGCAUAUAUUUUUUAUUAUUAUAUCUUACUUUGAAUAGAUCAAUGGACUUCUAUGAUAUAAAUUGUCUUUAUAAAUAACCAAAAUAAAUAAUAAAUAGAGGAUCCAAAAAAUAACAGUGUACUCCUGUUUAUUAAAACAAGCCACCGAAAUUAAAUUCCUCUAAUAUAAAGACAAAUAUCAAAACUAAAGUCUUGUAAAAUUGAUCUAGUCUUUCAAUUGAUAUAAACUAGCAUGUCCUCAACUGUUGUUUGAUGUUUUCUUCACUUAAUCUCUUGGUUUCCUGAAAAUCAAAUAAAUGAAUUAUAAAUAAGAUUAGUUACCUCAGAAUUCAUUAUUGUAUGAUGCAAUAGAAUUCUGAACUAAUUAGGAAGCUUAAAGAUUUCCUAUACCUGAUUUUAAUAAUCUUAGGACAAUCUUUCUUCCAGUGACCCUUCUGUCCACAUUUGUAACACUUGCCUUUUGGCUUGCCACUUCUUUUAGUGGACAGUUUGCCGAUCCCAACUCUUGCUUGCUUAUUCUUGUCUUUCGACUUAAACCUUGAAGAGAAUCCUUUUUCAGGAAGUUUUCUGCUAUGAUAAAAUUCUUCUAUAGCAUGUAGUUCGUGCAUUAAUUCAAUUAAGGUCAUAUCUUUAUUGUUUAAGAUAUAACUGACCUUAAACUCUUUGAAUGUAUCAGGUAAAGAUUCAAUCACCAUGUUAAUCUUUGAUUUAUCAUUGAUUUGAACACCAUGAAUCUCUACCUCAUUCAAAUAGUCCAUCAUUUUGAGGACAUGAUCACGAACUUUUGUGCCCUCUUCCAUCUUAGUAUCCGUAAUACGUUUCAAUGCUGCUUCUCUGGCAAAAUGGGUAUUUUGCCCAAACAUCUGAUGAAGACUAGCCAUUAUUUCAGUGGCUGUUUCCAUGCUCCGAUGUUUCUUAUACAGUUCCACAGAAAUCGAAGCCAAUAUAUAGCGCUUAGCCAUUUUGUUAGCUUCACACCAUUUCUCAUAAGGCUCCCUCUGAUUUCUAUAAUCGUAUAACGAUGGUUCAGGAGGGCAAGGCUGAGUCAAAACAUAUUUGCUUCCCUUAGCAGUGAGAAUAUUAAAUAGAUUGUGUUUCCAAUCUAAAUAAUUUUCGCCAGUGAGUUCAUUUUUAACAAAGAUAAUUAAUAAUGGGUUGAUGGAAGACAUUUUCUGAAAAAAAACAAAAUAGACAUGCAUAAAUACUUUGAAACAAUAUUCACAAUAAAUGACAAAAAUGCAAAAAACCAUAAAUGCAUUUUAAUUUAUUGUAACGAUAAUCUAGUACCGCUUUGACAAGCUAUCCGUUGGGGAAGUCAUGUCUACACUUACUAGACCCAAUUAUCCAUUAGAUUAUUUACUUUCAUGUAGAGACAUGAUAAAUAAUUAUCGUUAUCCCUUUAGGCCUAAAUUUGUUAACAGAGCUUCGUUGGGAAGGUUAAUAACAAACUUUAGUUGAGUGUAUAACCAUUGUUUCAAUCUACGUAUUUUUCAUAUCAAUAGUCACCGUUGGGGUGAACAAUCGAUUAAAAAAUAUUUCAAUUUUAUCUUUGAAGAAGUUCAUCAAAUAAAAUAUCUAAUAUAUAUACCCUCCGAAGGGAGCAUCACCGUAUCAUGAAGUCGAGGUAUAUAUAUAAUUUUAUUAUUGAACUAACAAUGGAGCCCGUGGGAAAAUUAUCUUGAAUUUUCCCUCUCCCACUCAAUAUUUUAAAAUUGGUUUUUCCUUUUUAAAACAUACAUAUUGUUAAUUGCAUGCUUCCUAUAAUAUUAUCUAGAUGAUAUCAAAUAUUAUUAAGCAUGUGCAAAUUUCAAACAAUAUAAUGAGAUUCAUUAUUAAUGAAUUACAUGUAUCAUUAUGCAUAGAGUGGCACUACCUAUUCUAUAUGACAUGUUAUCAUGGCAUGUUAUCAUCCAAAACAUAACAUAUAGAAAAACAAUUAAAUAAUCUUAAUUCAUGGCUUUCCUAAUAAUGAAAAAUACAUUAACCCUAAGCCUAAUCUUCAUUGGCCUUCUUGUCAAUGUCCAUCUUCCAUAAGCUUAUCUUUGUUAAUAGAUUAGGAGAAAUUGAGCUUUUAAAUUUAUAAUUGGUCCAAUUUUAAUUUUUGGAAGGAAAUAAAUAAAUAAUUAAAAUUUUUUAUUAAAAUAAAACUUUUGGACCAAAAAUAAAAUUUAAUGUGUUUAAUUUUAUCUAUGCAUUUUAAUCCAUUAAACCCAAAUUUCAAUUGGGCCUAAAACUAAGAUUCUUUAAGCCCAAAACUGUUUUCGGACUUAAAUGCAAAAACUUUAAACGUGUCUGCCCAAAAAGAAAAACUAUGGAGCCAUAGGAACCUCAAUGAUAGAAACCAUUGAAACCCUAAAUCCAUCUUUUUCUCUUUCCUUUCUUCACCAGCCGCCACCAGCAGACUGUUCAGAGACGCCGGCCAUCUCCGACGCCGAAACACCCGCCGCCACGUCGCCGGAAACGCACCAAACUCGCGCGGGCAGCGAGCUGCGCGUGCAGCGCGCGCUGCUGCCGCUGCGCGUGCAGCGCGCGCUUGCUGGCAGCAUGUGCUGCUGGCCGCGCGCUGCUUGCUGCUGGUUGCCGCUGUCAAAAUUUCCGGCCUCCGUCGCUCCGAUCUUGAAAAUCCGAGAUUAAUUUACAAAUUUCCUAGGCCAAUAGUGGCUUACAAAAAAUCUAUAAUAGUAAAAUAAAUCAAGAGAGAAAUAUGGUGAUAAAAAACCACCACUCUUGUUAUAGAUCCAAACAAAAAAUACAAUAGAAAAUCUAACUAUGAAUUAAGACAAACCAUAAGCAUGCUUUAUUCAUAUAUUAAAUAAAUAAUAUACAUCUGAAUAAAUUGUGCCACUCUAAUACAUAAAUAUCAAGAAUGAUUUCAUACGAAAUUCUUAUAUAUUAAUAUGAGAUGGCUCUAAUACCAAUUGUUGGGGAAAAAGUAGGUUUUUAAAUUUGUAUAAAACCUUUUGAAAAUCGCUCUCAUAUAAUAUAUAAGAAUUUGUAUUCUUGAAAUCGUACCUUGAAAAUCUGAGUUGGCUUUUUCCGCUGAAGUGAUUUAGGCUCCUAGAUCACGAUCCGCCACCACCACUCAUGUUAGAUCACGAUCCGUCACUACCACGCUUGUUAGAUCACGAACUGUCUCCAAUGAUCUUCCAGGUUAUGACUCAGGUUCGAUCUGCACUUGACGUGUGGGCGCCUUUAUCACUACCAAAGCAACUAGCACGAGAAAAUUUUUCUCUCAAUAAUGGAGAGAAAAAUCUUAUUCUCUAAUUUGUAUAAAGUGACUUUACUUUUUUCUUUAGAGAAAAUAAGCCUUAUAUAUCUCCUUUUAGUGAAAACCCUAGGCUCCAAAUAAUGCCCUAAAUAAAACUCACUUUAUUUUCUUUUUCAAUAGGGGACCCAUCUUGUAAAAUAACAUAAGGCCCCUUAUACAAAAGCUAAUUAAAUGGAGCCUCCCACUAAAUGAUAUAUUUAGGCUUUUGACCCAAAUAGCUAGUUAUCUUACUUAUUAGUCCAGUAGUGGUGCAGUCAAUUAAAUGAGCUAACCCAGGGAUCAUUUGGGAACAUACAAUAGUGGCUACAAUAAUUAGGCCUGUAAUUAAACUAGCCCAAUUAUUUAAUUCCAAAUCUACUCCACUAAAAGAUUGGAACUGACUUCCAUAAUUGUAUGCUCGAAUAAUAAUUCGUCCCAAGCCACAUUGAUUUCUUUACUGCACAAUCCUUUGUACCACAUCGUUAAUUAAAUUGAUAUCUCAACUGUCCAAUCAAUUUAAUAACAUCUUAUUCCUUGAUCCUUACUGGUUUUCUCUAAUGAUCAUUUUCAACAUACUAAAUAUGUUGACACACUCUGGCCAGAGAAUUCUAUGAUCAAGUGCCGAAAACCCAUCAAGAGAUGUGUUGUACAAAUUCUAUAUUGUUAAUCCAUAACUCCAAUACUUAUAAUUGCUCCCACCAAGAUACCGGGUAAUCUUGAUCACAAGGAUGUGUCGUGCCCAUUGGUAACUCAAAUGGAAUAACAAUUACAAUCAUGAAAUUAUAAUUAACUCAAGAUUAAGAUUACAGUAAAAUCAACGCCUAUGAGAUUUAAUAAGUCUGACAGUUAUUACAAAGUUAAUUAAAUCUCAUAUGUGAUCCUGUUCAAUGUAGUCGUACUACAUCAAUAAAUUCAUACAUGAUUAAGACAAAUUAUUCAAUGAAUUUAUUACAGUCUAUACCUAAAUAAAGUGCCCAACUUUAUUUAUCAACUGCGAACUAAAUUUAUUUAAUCAUAAGAUAACUUGUAUUUAUGUCUUCUGUGAAUCCACAUGGUGAUCACAUAAAUACAUAUAAUAUGAUUAAAUGGACUUUAAUACAAGUAUUAAUGCAAUUAAGAUAUUUGAAUAAAAUACCUCAUUUAUGUUAUUAAUCAGAAAAAUAGUUUAUUACAAUUAAAUAAACACAUAUACUUUUAAAGAGCAUAUUUUCCCAACAGUCCCCAAGAUGUAAAAGCUCCAAGUUAACAAGAUUUCUUAAUCCACUUGGGAUAUUUCCGAACAAUUGAUUGUUUUCAGCUGAUAACAUUCUAAGUCGGGUUGACAAGUUCCCCACAGUUUCAGGUAACAUUCCACCAAAAUUGUUAUCACUAAUUAACAGUAGCUCUAGUCUAGAAGCGUUAACCAAAGAAUUGACAAAUUCCAAGUUAUCUUUUUCCCCAUAAUUUCCUAAGUGAUUCUGAGAAAUACUAACCUAUUGGAGUUUAUGUAAAUUUUCCAAACUAGGCACCCUUCCACUGAAUCCAUUCUUUGCGAUUGUGAGUCUCAUUAGAUUUGAGGCAUUGGAUAUUGAAGCCGGAAUAGGCCCGGUAAGCUGAUUACCACCAACGUUUAGUACUUCAAGUUUAGGAAGAGUGAAGCCUAAGUCUGAUGGAAGGCUUCCUUGAAGUUGGUUAAAAGGAAAAUAAAAAUCACUAAGCCAAGACAAGUUGUAGAUUGAGAAGGGGAUUUCACCUGAUAGCUUAUUUGCUCCUAACGAUAUAUAACGCAUCAUCUUAAGCUCGCUCAGGGUUUCAGGAAUUUGUCCCACAAAUUGAUUUCCAGCUGCUGAGAGGACCUGGAGUGAUGACAAAUUGCCGAAGGAAGGUGGGAUUUCUCCUGACAAAUUGUUGGCGUGUAUUACGAGAAUCCGGAGCUUUGGUAAGGAGCCCAGUUUCCCUGGAACUUUCCCCACAAGCUCAUUGAAGUCUAACCAGAGGGAUUCAAGGUUAACGCAAUUGGAUAUGUUGUCAGGAAUUUGACCUCCGAAUGUAUUGUUGUCCAGCCUUAAAAUUCGUAACCUGAACAGAUAUCCAAUCGCUUGGGGGAUUUCGUUGCGGAGGCUAUUGUUUUUGAGAUUUAACACUCUGAGAAAACUCAAAUUACCAAUGUGAGGCGACAGAGACCCCUGCAAGAGUAAAGAUGGAAGACGUAAUGCAGUCACCCUCUGGUGCCGUGGACUGCAAGUGACACCUUUCCAUUGACAGAAGUGCCUGGAAUAGUUCCAUGAACUCAAAAACUCUAGAGGGUCAUAAGUAACUUUGGCCUUGAAUUCAAGCAAUGCAAGUUGAUCAGUUUCAUUGCUUUUGAGCAUAUAAUCGGUUGACUGCAAGCUGAAGCUGAAGCAACAGAAAAUAAAGAAACAAAUGCUAACAAUGAUUGAACUCAUCAUGUUUACAAAAUCCAUUUAACUGCCGAAAGGAAAUUAAAAUGAUAAAACUUUUAUAGAGGUUGGUAAGAUAAACUAUGUUUGUAUAUUUUUUGCAAUGAUUUAGGGACUCUGUACUUGAUGCUCAAAUGUGAACCGGCUGGCACCGUGACAGUGAAACUAAUACUUUUUAUUUUUCUAAUAAUAUUAAUUAUCAUAUUUAUUACUAUUGUUAGAAUAAUAUAUUGCAGCUUUAAAGAAAGACUCACCAUACUCCUUUUUGAGUCUCUGUCAGUUUCCAGCAUUUGGUCAUUUUUUAUUUCACCGCUUAAUCCACAGUAAAUAUAAAACAAUUUAAUCAACAAUAUUGAAAAAGAAAAAAAGUAGGACAAGAGAAAGGUAAAUACUGUUAAAUGAGUUGGGAAACGUUCAAAGCACGACGGGAAUUAGAAAAGAAAAAAAGUAGGAUAAGAAAGUUAAGUAUGAUGGAUGGAGUUUCACAUCACUGUUAAAUGACUUAGGAAAGGUUUAAAGCACCACAGGAACCAACGUUUCAUAAGUCAUAACGCUUUUUUCCCUUGUGAAAUAUUCAGUGCAGUCUCUCCCAGAUUUUGCUAGUGCAACAACGAGACGUCAUGCCGUUAACAAUUUUAAACUGUAAAUGACAUGUUGUUUUUACAAGACAUAUUAUGCGUCGAUACAUACCUUUUCUGGUUGUUGGUUUAUAAAAAUAUAUGAGACGGCAUGUGUGUGACAACUCUGUCAUUUGUGUUUACACGGCCUGUCGUUUUCAAAGUAAAACUUUAUCAUGGUAUUCUCAUCCCCUAGCUGCCGUUUUCCGUUUGGAAUUUUUCUGUAUAAGAUCUUGAUCAUCAAAUUUACUACUAGGGCGCAUGUUUUAUUUUCUCGAAUUACAUUGCUGCCUCAUCUUUUAUGUUUUCGGUUCUGUUGUGGAUCUCCUCUGUUUUUGUUGAUAGGCGGCUUUUACCUAAACUAAACCAUUAUUGGUGGCAUGUUGAUCCUAGAAUUAAGGAGUGGAUGGCUCCACUACUUGGGUGUUGAGAAAUUCAUGUUCAACUCACUGUACGGGCUCAGAUCGUACUGUCUUCCCCAUCAAAACAAAUUCAAAUGUUGAAGCCGUUUUUCGGCAUCAACAGUUUUGAUGUGUGCUAUGUUUUUAAUAUACAAACAUAAUUUUCUUUAUUCAGAUUGAAGAUCUUUUUCAUCCAACAUAAUUUUAUAUCCCUAGUAUAAAUUCGAUCCUCUGAAUAGCUCUUCAGUUUUAAGUUCUGCAAAAAGAUAGAUCUAAAUUCUGCAUAAAGGGAAAGCACUCAAUUUUUUUUUGGAAUUUGGCCAGACAAAUUGUUGCGAGAGAAAGAUCAGCUCUCAAAGAACUCAAUGACAGAAGAAAUUUUCCCUCGAAAGAAAAUCAUAAGUUGUUUCAACGUAAUGCAGCAGCCUAGACUAUAUGGAAUUUCACCAGGCAAUGACAAUUUAUUCUCAGAUAAAUCUAACGCCACGACAUUUAUCUAGUCACCCAAAUUUGCAGGCGUUCGUUUUGAGACUUGUCAAAACUUUUUCCAAAAAUUCGGGAUUCAGGUCAUAUCAGGCCAGUUAUGUUUUGAAAAACUUGUAAAUUUUCAGUGAUCAAACUUCAAAACUUUGCAAAUAGGUCAAAAUACGGAAAAAAAACUUGAUAUAUUAUUGAAUACUCAUUUUGUUUUGCAUUAAUAUAACGCUAUGGGUGAUAUCUAGUUCUGUUGGUAAAAUUUCUUGGGUUGAAAACAAGAAAACUAGAAUUUCAAACUCACUCAUAUGGAUGGGAAAGAAAUUUAGUUAUUAUUGGAUUAAAAAAUAAUAAUGAGAAUUAGAAAAAAAAUUGAUAAGGCUUCAACGAGAUUUGCUAAUCAUGUAUAGAUUAAUAUGAAGAUUAAGAACAUCACCUAAGCUAAUUAUUGAACUUGAAAGUUUAGGAGAAAAAAUUAUAUGGGUUUGGCCAUCAAUUUAGCAUUCGGAACUUAUUGUUUAGGAAGCUAUGGUAGGUUUCCUAGUAGGACUUAUCCUCUUUAAUGCAUAUGGUGAUUUUAAACCAAUAUAUAUACAAUCGCAUUAUAAAACUCAUCAAACCUUCUAAAAUAACAUGCUGAGAUAGUGUGCUAGAUCCAUAUAAAUAUUUCUCCAACUUCUUAGCUUGAAGCGAUAUUCAUUUCCAUUGAUAGUUUAAUGGGCAAAGCCUUUUGAAUUCUCCAUGUUAUCAAGUUAACUUUUGCUGGAAAAUGCAAUGCGGAUAUGAAUAGAAUUUUUUGUGCAAUCAAAUUUUCUAUGUUGACACAUCCUCUGGAACUUUCAGUAAAUUUUAUGGAGAAGCUUCAAUUUCUUGGUUGUUGAUUUCGAAUACAUUAAGCUCUUAUUUGGUAUUAAAGUAUUGUGGGCUAAAAGCUAUAGUUUUUAUGGAAAGAAAUUUGUAAUUGCGAAAUAAAAGUUGAUUCAGUGUGAUAAAUAUAAUUUCAGAAUAAAAAAUAAAGUAAACUUCGAAAUUAUAACAAAGUAAGUAUUUAUUAAAUACUUUAGUGUUGCAGUAACUGUUUACUACAAUAUCAAAUAGGGGGCUAGUACUACAAGUUGUUACAUUAAAAGUCUCCCAAAAAGGAAGAGGUGACUUAAAAAAUUAAAAGAAUGCAGGAGCUGAAGUUGGCAAUUUUGUAAAUUGCAAUGGCGAUUGUGAUAUAGUAAAAUCCUUCAAUGAAUCACAGCACUAGCGAUUUCGUAAUAUACAGUAGCGGCAAUUUUGUAAAAUUGAAGUAGUGAUAGUUUUGUAAAUAAAAGUAAAAACUUUUUCCCAAAAUUUGGCUGAGCAAAGAGCCAGCUUAGCCCACACUCUCCUUCGCCACUGGUUGAUGAGCUCUUCCUUCAAUUUUUGAACUUGAAGUGAUGCCCCAUCGAUGUCCAGAAUUUUUAAAGUCUCCCCAUUGUACAAGUUAAACAAUAAAGUCAGAAUGAUGACGGAGUUACAAACAAUCAAAUAUGAUCCUAAUGAUUCUUUUUAUACAGUCACGUGUACGUUGAUGUGUUUAAUUGAUAUAUAUUUAAGCAGAAAUUGAAGUUUGAACCUGAUUAAUUAGAUGCGAACACACAUUCAUGAGUAAUUACUUAAAAUAAAUUAACCAAAAGAGUAAAUAUAGGAGGAAAUCGAUCAUAUGCGUGCGGACACCACAAUCGAAUUAUAUAUAUAUAUAUAUAUAUAUAUAUAUAUAUCACUGUCGCACAUAAAUUUUAUUCGAAUGAUAUAUGAUUACUUAAUUAAUUUUUUAAUAACAAUUAAAUUAUAAUGUCAAUUGUGCACAUAAGAUUUUUUUUCUUGAUGAAAUUAUGAAAGUUAGUAAUUAUUUUCCAUUUUUUAAAUAAUAGUUUUUAAUACAAAUAAAAAAAAUAUUGGGACUUGAGAUCAGGGUCUACUUGAGUUAGAAUUUUUUAUUAGAGAAGCUAUUAGCCAGCAAUACAAAAUAAAGAAGCAACACAAGAUAAAGAGUAAUAUAUUAUAGAAAGAUUUUAUUCAUUCCAAGUGUAUAUCAAACAAAGAGAUAUUUAUAGUUACAUAAUUACUACAUGAAAUUAAUGAAAACAUUAUGGAUCAUACUUUCUUGCGAGAUAGUGGAAGUUAUAGAGAAGGCAAGGGUUGCUAGUGGAAGAUAGUGGAGAGAUUAAGAGAUGUAUGUUAUGAACAUCCAGAUUUAUUUUAAUAAAUUCAUAGCAUUUUUCCCCCUCAAAUAAUAGGGUGUACAGAACAAUUGGAAGGAGUUUACGCAACCUAUAAAUUAAUACUCUGACGAAUUAAUAUCCUCUAUUAUAUAAUGACUUUUUUUAAGCACGCUAAUAGGCUAAAAUGACAGUUCCAAUAAAUAAAUAAAAUAAUAUUUUUUUUUUCUGAAAACCCUUACAUAAUAUUGUGGUCCUACUCAUAUCAUAAAUUAAUAAUUUUUAAAUUAUAUAUAAUUAUUACACAUAAAUUAUAUAUUUUUUAAUAAAUUCAUAAUAUUUUUUCUCAAAUAAUAGGGUGUAGAGAACAAUUAGAAGGAGUUUACAAGACUCGCCUAUAAAUUAAUACUCUGACGAAUUAAAAUCCUCUAUUAUAUAAUAAUUUUUUUUAAGGUUGCUAGUAGGCUAAAAUGAUAGUUCCAAUAAAUAAAUAAGAUUAUAUUCUUCUUUUUUUUUAUGAAAACCCUUACAUUACAUUAUGGUCCUACUCAUAUAAUAAAUUAAUAAUUUUUAAAAUUACAUAUAUAAUAUUUUAUUUUAAAAAUAUGAUUUUAUUUUUUAUUAUUUUUUCUUGAAAUUUAAAUAUAGUUAGAUUUCAUCUCUAAUUACUUUUGAGGUUAAAUUUUGAAAUUGCAAAAAUUUUGAAUUUUUUUGGUUAAUUAAAUCUACAGUGAGUGUAUAAGAUGAUUAGAUUAGUAAAAUAUUAGAUUAGUAAAAUAUAAUAAAUUUUUAGUUGAUUAAAUAUAUGUUCAUUUAAUAUGUCUUGUGUAUACAGAGUUUACUAAGGACAAGCCGAAUAGUAAGUAAGCAUUUACACUAAUCAAUCGUGUUGAGUUGUGUCCCAUAUUGGCUAGUAAAGGGGAGAUACUUGGGUUUAUAAGAAGGUAUGUCAUUCCACCUAAAAGGCUAGUAUUUUGGGUUGGAUACAUAGAAAUCUUAUGUUAAGUCCCCUCAACAAAUCGGUAUUGUGCAAUGAAAAUAAGUAAUCUAAAAAUUGCCUAGGAUUUUGCCUUAUAUGUCUCAAAAUAAGCUAAUUAUGCCCAAUUAUGGCACUUGUUGGUUCAACUUUGACAUCAAAGUUGGAAACGUUUUUCUCUAGGGUGAGGCUAUUUGCACUUGAAUAUCUACUUUGAACACUCAUUUACUCAGCACACUCAAUUAAUAAUUUCAAACUAUUAACUUUUACUUGGAACACUCUUUUGAAUUCCUAUAUUAUCCUCAUUUCUUUAAUUACUUUAUUUCUUCUUUGUACCCAAUAAAAUAUUCAUCAUCACAAACAAAAUAUCUAACUUUUUUUUUCCAUUUUUAUUCACUUUUAUUUUCUGUUCAUAAUCUGUUUUGAUAUGUAUUUGUUCUUCUCUUAUUGCUACAAUUUAAUUCUGUUUGUCAACCCAUAAAAGCAUGCGAAUUGAGUGAAAAUCAAAGUGCAAAUUUAAAACAAAAUCCUUUGAUUUACUUGCGUUUUCUUAUGUUGGAGUAGUGCAAUUUGUUGUUUGUCCUCCACCUCUAUUUUUAAUUCCUUUUGUUUCAGUUAUAAAGAUGAUCAUGAACAUGUUACUUGAUGUUUUCCUAGCAAUUCUAUUAACCAAAAAAAUGAAAAAAAAAGUUUAGUCCAUAAGUAUAGACAAUGUUUUCAUUUGAAUAUUGAUUCCAUUCUUCGUUGUUAAUGUGGUUUAUUGUAGAUAAAAUAUAAUGUUAGAUAAAAAUUUGUUAUACAGUAUUUUAAAAUUGUCCUUAAUAGAAAAUUACAUUAAGGAGUAAUAUAAAAAAUUAUUAAAUGUGAGUGUCCAAAGUAAAUUUUAGAGUGCAUAUAGUCUCACCCUUUUCUUUAUGUUAUUAUAAUUAAUUUAGAAAGAGUUAGAAAGCUAAGAGUAUCCUUAGUAAAGCUCAAAUAUGUAAUACAUAUCACUAGUGAGUGAGUUUCAUAAACUUUCCUAAUUAAGUAGAUGAAUUUUGGGUUGUAAAUCCUAACACAAUAUAUAUUCAGUUGUUGAGCCUAAAAUAUCACAACUAAAUCGAUAUUGUCCGAUGCAGCAUGCAACCCUACAUCUUCUUAGUUAGGACAAUUCAUGAAACCACUUAUUUGGGAUGUAGGAGAUGAUACAUAAUUUGUAUGUGCACGUUGGCUUAAUAUCCCAAUUACACACUCGUUUGUCUUCAUGUGCUCCGAAAAGAUCUAUUGUAAUGGAUAUAUUGUAUGUUUAUCAAAGUGCUUGUUAUAAUGAUUCUAUUGUGGUGUUAUUCGAGUUGUCACUUUUAGUUUUUGAUUAUCUUUUUUAAACAUAGUUAAUUUGAAAUGUUCUUUAAUAUCCAACACACUUGAGAUCAUCAAAUAAGUGAUUCCCGAACAUAAUUGCCUCUGAUAAUUUUGUUUGUGCCAAUAAAGGGUUGAUACAAGCCAAAGACUUCUUGUCUUUAUUGUCAUUUGAGAGUAAUCAAUUACUUACGCAGUCGCAUAAGUUACUGGUUGGCCUCGCACAUUUGAGAGUAACCAAAUGGAAAUGAGAGCAACGUGAUUUUCCAAAGAGAACUUCGCACUAUCAUAAAACUGAAAACAUUACAAUUUAAAGCUUAAAUAACAACACACCAAAGCCAAAUAACGACCCACUAGAAUCAUGGUCCAAAGAUUGUUCCAUGAUCACAACAUGAACUACAAAAAAAAAAAAAAACCAACACCAAAAAAGUAGGAACAGUUUGAAACUUUUGACUAAGCAACAUUUAUGAUCACAUCAGCAGUCCUAAACACAUCUUCUAACAAUUACAACUGUUCAUUUUUGCUUCUGCCAAUAAAGAGUUGAUAGUAACCAAAGAUUGUUGUCUUUAUUGUCAUUUGAGAGUAACCACUAAUUACGCAGUCACGUACGUUGCUGGUUGGCCUCGCACAUUUUUGACAAGUUUGUUUCUGAAGGAAAGCAGCUGAGCCGCAACCUCUUCCAUGCUCAUUCGUUCUCUCGGCAACUCUGAAGAGCAAGUGACUCCGAUUCCCAGUACUGAAACCAAGCACUCUUCAACACUAAAAUUUCUGGUCCAUUGUUUGUGAGCACUGGUCUCACUUGUCUCCCCUUCUUCUCCUUCUACAAGAAGCACUGGAUCAACAAUUUCAGCGAGCCUUUCAGGAAGAGCUUCCUUGACAAAAUUAUGUAGGGUUAGAUUGCCAGUAAACAUCUCAUUCGUCGGCCUCUUUCCUGUAAACAUUUCCAGCAAAAGUAUGCCAAAACUGUACACAUCUCCACUUGUUGAGACUUCGCUCCCCAUUCCGUACUCUGCAAUUCGAAAAUUAGAAUUGUUGGUUCAACUAGUAAAAUCUCCGAGGAUCGAAAAACAAGUUAAUUAAGUUAUAGUAUUUACCUGGAGCAGCAUAACCAACGGUUCCUUUAACUCCAGUAGAGCUUGAUUGAUUAGAUGACAAGUUAUUGGUGGCGUCCGGAAGGAAUUUCGCUAAUCCAAAAUCACUUACAUGGGCAGUCAAUUCACCAUCUAGAAGAACAUUGCUCGGCUUGAGAUCACAAUGGACUAUUGGAUUUUCGCAAUAGUGAUGAAGAUAAUCCAAUGCGGAGGCCACAUCAAUGGCAAUAUUCAGUCUUUGGAGGAGAUUUAAAUUCCUUGGUGCCUCAGGGUUUGGAUGCAACCAUUCCUCCAGGCUCCCGUUCACCAUGAACUCAUAAACUAAGGCCUCGAAAUCAUUUCCUUGAAAGUCAACACUUGCACACGAAGUUAUUAUUUUGACGAGAUUCCGAUGCCUAAUACUUCUAAAGGCUUGACACUCCGCUAUGAAACUCUUUGAAGCUCCUCGAUGUUGAAGAUUAAGCACCUUAACUGCCACCAGCGUUUCAUGAUCAUCAUGAUUGAGGAUUCCUUGAUAGACCGAACCAAAGCUACCGGCACCAAUCAAGUUUUCCAAAGAGAACCCAUCAGUUGCUUUGAACAGAUUCUCAUAGGACACUCGUAAAACCGAAGCCAAUACUGCUGAUGGAGGAGUGGCCGGCUCCCUUUUUGAUUUGCUCUGCCGGGAAGUAAUUAUCAAACACGACAUCCCUGUCACUAACAAAAUUACUGCAACUACAGGAAUAAUCAGUUUCAGGGAACGGGCACGUGAUUGCUUUGAUUCUUUGAUGGAACAAGUAGAUAAAUGCAACUCAGAUAUGCCACCACAGAGGUUAUCAUUUCCAUCAAGAGAUAUAGCACUUGAAUUGCUGAAGACUCCUUUUAUUGGUACUUCACCCUCAAAAUGAUUAGAAGACAGAUUUAAAUUCUGCAAAAAGAAAAAGUUUUCAAAAUAUUUUGGAAUCCGGCCAAACAAAUUGUUCCGCGAAAGAUCAAGGUUCUGAAUGCCUCUCAAAGAACUGAAUGAUGAAGGGAUAUUCCCUUGAAAGAAAUUACCAUUCAUGACGAGUUGUUCCAACCUAACGCAACUUCCUAGACUGUUUGGAAUUUCACCAGACAAUUUGUUCUCAGAUACAUCUAGAACACCCAGAUUUUUCAAGAUGCCAAAAUUUGAGGGCAAAGGACCGUUCAAUUGGUUUUUAGAUAGAUCAAGAUAGAUUGAUAAGGAAGAGAGACCAAUCACUUCAGUGGGUAUGGUACCAGUGAAGUUGUUAUUAGAGAGAUCUAAUAAUAUCAAGUUUUUGCAUUUCCCUAGACUUGAUGGAAUGCUUCCCUCUAACAUGUUUCCUUCAAAACUUAGUGUGAAUAACAAUGUCAAAUUUCCUACAGAAGAUGGAAUUUCCCCCAAAAACUUGUUCCCCUUUAGCCUCAACCUUUGCAGCUUUUGAAGAUCUCCUAUGCUUCCCAGAAUUCGGCCUGUGAAUUGGUUGUCCCCAAAAUCUAAAAGCUCCAAGUUAACAAGAUUUCCUAAUCCACUUGGGAUAUUUCGGAACAAUUGAUUGUUUCCAACGGUAAAUCUUUUAAGUCGGGUUGACAAGUUCCCCACAGAUUCAGGUAACAUUCCUCCAAAAUUGUUAAUACUAAUUUCCAUCAUCUCUAGUCUAGAAGCGUUGACCAAAGAACUGACAAAUUCCAAGUCAUCUUUUUCCCCAUUUCCUAAGUGAUUCAGAGAAAAGCUAACCCGUUGGAGUUUAUAUAAAUUUUCCAAACUCGGCACCUUUCCACUGAAUCCAUUUUUCUGGAUUGUAAGUCUCAUUAGAUUUGAGGCAUUGGAUAUUGAAGCAGGAAUAGGCCCAGUAAACUGAUUAUUACCAAAGUUUAGUACUUCAAGAUUAGGAAGAGUGAAGCCUAAGUCUGAUGGAAGGCUUCCUUGAAGUUGGUUAACAGGAAAAUCCAAAAGACUAAGCGAAGACAAGUUGUAGAUUGAGAAAGGGAUUUCACCUGAUAGCUUAUUUGCUCCGAAUCCUAUUGAACGCAUCCUCUUAAGCUCGCUCAGGGUUUCAGGAAUUUGUCCCACAAACUGAUUUACAGCUGCUGAAAGGAACUCGAGUGAUGACAAAUUGCCAAAGGAAUAUGGGAUUUCUCCUGACAAAUUGUUGAAGUGUAUUGCGAGAGUCCGGAGCUUUGAUAAGGAGUCUAGUUUCCCUGGAACUUUCCCCACAAGCUCAUUGAAGCCUAACCAGAGGGAUUCAAGGUUAACGCAAUGCGAUAGGUUGUCAGGAAUUUGACCUCCGAAUGUAUUUUUCUCCAGGCUUAAUUUUUGUAACCUGAACAGAUAUCCAAUCUCUUGAGGGAUUUCGUUGCGGAAGCUAUUGUUUUGGAGAUCUAACACUCUGAGAAAACUUAAAUUACCAAUGUGAGGCGACAGAGAUCCCUGCAAGAGUAAAGAUGGAAGAAGUAAUGCAGUCACCCUUUGGUGCCGUGGACUGCAAGUGACACCUUUCCAUUGACAGAAGUGCCCGGAAUAGUUCCAUGAACUCAAAACCUCUAGAGGGUCAUAAGUAACUUUGGCCUUGAAUUCAAGCAAUGCAAGUUGAUCAGUUUCAUUGCUUUUGAGCAUAUAAUCGGUUGACUGCAAGCUGAAGCUGAAGCAACAGAAAAUAAAGAAACAAAUGCUUACAAUGAUUGAACUCAUCAUGUUUACAAAAUCCAUUUAAUUGCCGAAGGAAAUUAAAAUGAUAAAACUUUUGUGGAGGUUGGUAAGAUAAACUAUGUUUGUAUAUUUUUUGCAAUGAUUUAUGGACUCUGUACUUGAUGCUCAAAUGUGAACCGGCUGGCACCGUGACAGUGAAACUAGUACUUUUUGUUUUUCUAAUAAUAUUAAUUAUCAUAUUUAUUACUAUUGUAAGAAUAAUAUAUUGCAGCUUUAAAGAAAGACUCACCAUACUCCUUUUUGAGUCCCUGUCAGUUUCCAGCAUUUGGUCAUUUUUUAUUUCACCGCUUAAUCCACAGUAAAUAUAAAACAAUUUAGUCAACAAUAUUAAAAAAGAAAAAAAGUAGGACAAGAGAAAGGUAAAUACUGUUAAAUGAGUUGGGAAACGUUCAAAGCACGACGGGAAUUAAAGAUUCACAACACCUUUUUUUUAAAAUUUUCAGUGCCGUCCCCCAAAAUUUGCUAGUGCAACAAAGAGACCUCGUGCCGUUAACAAUUUUAAACUGUAAAUGACAUGUCGUUUCACAAAAUUCAUUUAACUGCCGGAGGAAAUUGAAAUUAUAAACUUUUAUAAAGGUUGGUAAGAAAAACAUAUUUGUAUAUAUUUUUUUCAAUGAUUGAUGGACGUUAUACUUGAUGCUGAAAUGUGAACCGGCUGGCAUCGGGACAGUGAAACUAAUGCAUUUUAUUUUUCUAAUAAUAUUAAUUAUCAUAUUUAUUACUAUUGUAAGAAUAAUAUAAUACAACUUUUCCUUUAAGGAAGACCCGCCACACUAACUUUUGACGCUCUAUAAGUUUCCAGUAUUUUGUCAUUUUGUAUUGUAGUGCUUAAUCCACAAUGAAUAUAAAAGUUUAAAGCACCACAGGAUGGUGGAUGGAGUUUCAGAUUACUGUUAAAUGACUUUGGAAAGGUUUAAAGCACCAUAGGAAUCAGCGUUUCACAACGCUUUUUUCCCUUUCUGAAAUAUUCGGUGCAGUCACCCCCAGAUUUUGCUGGUGCAACCAAGAGACGUCAUGCUGUUAUCAAUUAUAAACUGUAAAUGACAUGUUGUUUUUACAAGACAUAUUAUGCGUCAAUACAUACCUUUUCUGGUUGUUGGUUUAUAAAAAUAUAUGAAACGGCAUGAGUGUGAAAACUCUUGUAAAAUUUUUAAAAACAACAUAAUCAAUGGUAUUCUUAUCUCCCAGCUGCCGUUUGCCGUUUGGAAUUGUUCUGUAUAAGAUCUUGAUCAUCGAAUUUACCACUAGGGCGUAUGCUUUAUUUUCUCGAAUUACAUUGCUGCCUCAUCUUUUGUGUUUUCGGUUCUGUUGUGGAUCUCAUCUGUUUUUUUUUCUAAUUUUGGGCCCGAAGGGCACGUUAAUUGAAAUCAACAAAUCUGGUAAAAAUGACGUUAAAUUCGAUCAGAUUUACAUAUUUAAUUACAAAUACAGUAACCCCGAUCAGAUGCAUACGCUAAUUUUAUUUAUUUUUUGUCAGCUUUAACCUCACUGUCAUUUUGAAUAGCCUACAAGAGUCGAAUGACUAGACUUCCAAUUUGCUAUCAUCCCCCUUGAAUGGAUUCAAGAAAUUCAGCAGGUUGCGAAACAAUAAGAUUCAUUCAAUCCGCGUAGAUAUCUAACUGACUGAAAUUAAAUAAAUGAUGAUGAUAAGAAAUUUGAAAUCAACAAAUCUCGGCACAUCUAUUCUGCAAUUUGGCCGUACUUCAAAUAAUCUUGCGAUAAAAAUUUCAUAAAAAAUCUCAGAAAGAGGAUCUCAGAAAGAGGACAGAACAACCAAGGCAUCAACGAAAGCAAUCGAGGCAGGGCACGCUCAAGCCACGAAUUAGAGGAAUUUUAAACAUCAAAACCAGCUCAGAAUAAUAAGAAGUAAAAUGAAUCUACAAAAGACUAAGAUUUUGGAUGAGUGAAGGGAAGAUGAGAAGAUGAAAUGCAGAAAGUCAAGAAAUGAAUAAACCAAUAUUAAUAAUCUUGGACCCACAGCUCUAAUUUGGAUUAAGCAUCCAUCUACCUAUGUGGAUAAUAUUUUUGCUAAUUUUUCAGCCAUGCAGCAGGAAUUUUCCCUUGGAAGAAAAUGAUGAGUCGUUUCAACGUAAUGCAGCUACCUAGACUGCAUGGAAUUUCACCAGACAAUGACAAUUUAUUCUCAGAUAUAUCUAACGCCCCCACAUUUGUUUAGUCACCCAAAUUUGAAGGCGUCCGUUUUGAGACUGAUCAAAACUUUUUCCAAAAAUUCGGGAUUCAGGUCGAUCAGGCCGGUUAUGUUUUGAAAAACUUGUAAAUUUUCAGUGAUCAAACUUCAAAACUUUGCAAAUAGGUCAAAAUAUGAAAAAUACUUGAUAUAUUAUUGAAUACUCAUUUUGUUUUGCAUUAAUAUAAGGCUGUGGGUGCUGUCUGGUAAUGUUGGUAAAAUUUCUUGAGUUGAAAACAAUAAAACGAAAACAGCUCUAAUAGAUCCGCCCCUGUUUGAAACUCACUCAUAUGGAUGGGAAAGAAAUUUAGUUACCAUUGGAUUAAAAAAUAAUUAUUAUUAUUAGAAAAAAAAUUGUAAGGCUUCGACAAGAUUUGCUAAUCAUGUAUAGAUUAAAAUUUAUGUGGGUUUGGCCACCAAUUUAGCAUUAGGAACUUAUUGUUUAGGAAGCUAUGGUGGGUUUCGUAGUGGGACUUAUCCUCUUUAAUGCAUAUGGUGAUUUUAAACCAACAUUUAUAUAAUCCCAUUAUAAAACUCAUCAAACUUUGUAAAAUAACUCGUUGAGAUAGUGUGCUAGAUCCAUAUAAAUAUUUCUCCAACUUCUUAGCUUGAAGCGAUAUUCAUUUCCAUUGAUAGUUUAAUGGGCAAAGCCUUUUGAAUUCUCCAUGUUAUCAAGUUAAUUUUUGCUGGAAAAUGCAAUCCGGAUAUGAAUAGAAUUUUUUGUGCAAUCAAAUUUUCUAUGUUGACACAUCCUCUGGAACUUUCAGUAAAUUUUGUGGAGAAGCUUUAAUUUCUUAGUUGUUGAUUUCGAAUAUAUUAAGCUCUUAUUUGAUAUUAAAGUAUUGUGGCCUAAAAGUUAUAGUUCGUAUGAAAAGAAAUUUGUAAUUACUAAAUAAAAAUUGAUAGAGUGUGAUAAAUAUAAUUUCAGAAUAAAAAAUAAACUUAACUUCAAAAUUACAAUAGUAAUUAUAAAGUAUUUAUUAAAUACAUUUGUGUUGUAGUAACUGCCCUACCACAGUAACAAAGAGGGGGCUAAUACUACAAAUUGUUCCAUUAAAAGUCUCUCAAAAAGGAAGAAGUGACUUAAAAAAUUAAAAGAAUGCAGGAGCUGAAGUUGGCAAUUUUGUAAAUUGCAAUGGCAAUUGUGGCCUAGUAAAAUCCUUCAAUGAGUCACAGCACUAGCAAUUUCUUAAUAUACAUUAGUGGCAAUUUUGUAAAAUUGAAGUUGUGAUUAGGGGUGGGCGCGGUUCGGUUCGGUUCGGUUUUUUACUAAAUUUUUCAUAAUAGUUCGAUUACGAUUAUUUUAAAAUCAUAAUCGCGAUUAAUCAAAUUACCGAAAUAAUCAAACACUCGAUUAAUUAAAAUAAUUCGAUUCGGUUCGGUUCGAUUAUUUCGAUUAUGGGCCUAUUGGGCUUAUUUUGGUUUUUUUUUUUAAAUUUAAAACCUUAAAUUAAUAAAUCUACCACAAACAUAAAAAGUUAAUAAACAAAAAAUUAAAAUAUGUCUCAAAAUAUUUUUCUUUUUUUCCGAUCAUCAACCUCCACCUCUUGCACUUCCUCCUCAUCAUAGUUUAUUAGUUUUCCAUUCUACAGCAACAAAACAACACAACAGCAGCAACAAAUAAAAAACCUUGGGGAUUACAAAAUAAAAAAUAUUAUGACAUUCCAACACUGGCCUGGCUGAUGGCAUGCAAUUAAAUUCAAAUCAUCCUCACCAAUUAUAAUCAUAAAUUCGACUAGAAAAUCAAGUGUCACAAUCAAUUUCAUGAAGUCAAUGUUUCAAGCUAAAUACAACAUCUCAAGUGAAAUCAAAACAACAUUUUAUUACCUCCAAUUUUAAUCUCGAACAAACUGAUAAAAGGAAUACAAAGUUUAUUCAACAGUAUUGUGCAUUAACAAAGCAUAUGGAUAAAAGGAUUAAGAAAUGGAGAAGAAUUGCUGAGAAUGCAAGUCUGGCUAAUGGGCAUCAUUUAUAGCAUCAUACAUAAUUUAUUUAUGCAAGUCUGCAAAUUCUUAUUGACGGGCCCCUUGGGAUCCUCUUGGCUAUUUUGGCUAUAGCUUUUUUUUAUCCUCUUGCAUUUACCCCUUGGAGCCAACGAAUGAAUGGUACGCUUACGCUAUAGCCAAAAUAGCUGGGAUUAAGAUAUGCCGGGCUUAUCAGAUUCAGUAAAAAUUCAAUGCAAUUUCUGGGAUUCUUACGAAUUUAUAUGGCCCCAAUGAUAACAAAAUAUUUUAGCUAUAGCUUUUUAAAUUCAUAAAACCUUGUUCUGCUGAGAGUUGUUGGUGACAGUGGCAGCAGCAGCAGAUGACAGCGGCAGCAGCACGUGGUAACAGCGGCGGAGACUCGGCGACGAGCAGCAGCGAUGGGCAGCAGCGACGAGCAGCGGCGGCGACGAGAAACGGGGACGAGAUUUCAGCGGCUGAAGGUCACGAUUUCGGUUUCAGCUGAAGAUCAGAACUCAGAAGUGGUCACGAUUUAGGUUGAUGAUCAGAACUCAGAAGAAGCAGGGAUUUGUCCGUGGUAUACCCCAAAAAAAAGGUAUUUAUCUAAAAAUACCCCCAUACUCAAAUAUUCCUCGUAUAUGCCUUUUCUAAUAUGCAGUUACGAAAUUACCCUAAUGAAAAAUCUAAAUCAACUAAACUACCACAACCAAUCGUGUAACAAAAUCCCUAAUUUUUUCUCAUGAGCAACUUCUUCUUCAACCCGUUCUUCUGGAUUUCUCCUCCUCCAUUUUACAAAUCCCUGUCAUUUUACAACUAUUCUUCUACACACUCUCGCCUCUCUACAAACCAGUAGCUGCAAUUCCCCCACUCUGCUUCAGCGUCUCCUCUUCCAGGUACUUUUAGAAAGUCAAAUUUUUUAUUUUAAUGUAAAAUAAAAUUUGAAAGUUUCAAAGCUCAAGUUAUUGAUUUUUCUGGAAAAAAUCAUUUACAGCUGGUAUUGAAAUGUGUGCAAAGUCUUGUGCCAAAAGCUUAAUUUUCAUUUCUCACAAAAGUCAGAUGACAAGACUUCACUUGAUUAGGCUUAUGCUUGUCUUUUACCUUGCAUUAAUUUUCAUCUCUUGCAAAAGUCAGAUAAUAAGGCUUCACUCGAUUAGACUAGUAAUUGAUUUAACAUAUUCAUUUUCUGAUUAAUUGUCAUCCAAUUUGUUUUGCACACACAUCGGGUAGAAUUCAUCCAAAAAAAUGGCUUGUAAGGUGCGGGAGUCCGAAUACUUAUAAACCUACACACCAAGCCUUAGCUUAGCAAUAUGACACUCAAUUAUAGUUCAUAACCGAUAUGCACGGUGGCCAUAUAUGGGGCUAGGUGACUUCACAGAUUUCAUACAAGGUGAAUAGCAGGCCUUCUUUUCAACUUACUUCGUCUGUGCAGAGAGAUUUCAUCAAAAAAUUGGUAAAACUCAUUCAAAAGACCCACUUAUGAUGUUAGAAAGACCAAAUACCCUAUAAAAUGCUUAAUAAAGUGGUCGCACAAUUAUUCUUGUGUAUACAGUACCAAUGCAAUAGAAAACAGGAUAAACCUUAAUAUCUCUAGCUACUCAGUCCAAUAGACAGUAUAAUCUAAAGAUGUCGUGUUGUUGUAUUGUUACACUGGUGAGACAAUUGCUGCAUGUUGCAGACAUGAUACCUCUAGUACUUCAAAAGAUAGCAUAUCACGAAACACAUCCAGACUGUAGUGAGGUUAUUUCGAAAAUUCCUUGGCCCAUUGUGCGAGUGCGUGACAUCCCGCAACAAAAAUCAGGGUAUGUACUAUAUAUAUAAUGUGUUUUGAACAUAAUAAUAAGAAUGAUGAUUUUUAACAAUUGAUUUAUAUGAAUUUUUUUAGUGGUGACUGUGGAGCAUUUUUGUUGCGGUACUUGGAGGUCCUAGCCCAUGGACUUGAUGUCAAUUCAUACUGCCAACAAGAUCAUGUUACACAAUUUCGACAAGCCUUGGUUGUAAAAUUAUUUGGGCAUAGGUCAUGCAAAAAAACUUUGUAGUGUCAUAUUUUGGAUUAUGAGAUGUAAUAGUUGUAAUGAGGAUGUUGUUGAUAUUUGAUGUCAUUAAAGACAAUUGACAGCAUUAAUAUAUUUUAUUUCUUUGUUAUUUAUAUUAAUGAUAGAUAAGAUAGUUUGCACAAUAUAUGCACAGGGAAUAAACUGUAAGAGAAUACACACACGACUGCAGUCGGGUAUUUGCACAGAUACACGACUGCGGUCGGGUAUUUGAAAAUAAACAUAAUAAGCUGUGACAAAAUACUCGACUGCAGUCGGGUAUUUGCACAGAUACACGACUGCGGUCGGGUAUUUGGAAAUAAACAUAAGAAGCUCUGUGACAAAAUACUCGACUGCAGUCGGGUAUUUGCACAGAUACACGACUGCGGUCGGGUAUUUGGAAAUAAACAUAAUAAGCUGUGAUAAAAUACUCGACUGCAGUCGGGUAUUUGCACAUAUACACGACUGCGGUCGGGUAUUUGGAAAUAAACAUAUGAAGCUCUGUGACAAAAUACUCGACUGCAGUUGGGUAUUUGCACAGAUACACGACUGUAGUCGGGUAUUUACAAAUAAAAAUGACAAGCUCUCUGUGACAAAAUACUCGACUGCAAUCGAGUAUUUGCACAGAUACACAACUAUGGUCGAGUAUUUAGAAAUAAAUAUGACAAGCUCUCUGUGACAGUCAGGUAUUUGCACAGAUACACGACUGUAGUCGAGUAUUUAAAAAUAAACAUGACAGUUUUGUAACAGCCAAAAUACACGAUUGUACUCGGGUAUGUGCACAAAAUAAAAACUUUUUUCAAUCAUUCAUUAUAUUGAUGACACAAUCAAUAUAGAUUUUAAACAUAUCAAACUUCAAAUAAAUGAAACUAACUAUAGUCCGGUUGCCUAUCAAAUAACACAAAUCCAAUAGUUAUUGAAAUCGUAAAUAAGUCGUAAUACAAUAGAAGUUGUUUAACAUUCAUCAUAAAUUUUUGGCAUAUUCAACCAAAACACUCGGUCCAUAUUUUAUAAGCCUCUGGUCGCCUCCCUUCAAUACUUGUUCUUAGAAAGUCACACAAACAUGUUUAUUCAUCUGCGAAACAAAAAUGUAGAAAUUUAUCACUAAAUAUGAAAGAUAUUAAAAAAAAUUAAAACAACAAAAAAUAACAAGUAUAUAAGGUUCAUAGUAGUCUUGUAACUUAUUAACAAUUAUAGUAUGUAAGUUCAUACGUACACGCUAGUAGUCGUGUAACUUAUUAACACACACGACUAUAGUCUAGUAAUAGUAAAAUGAUAUAUAUAUAGUGAAAAAUAUAUAUUUUUUGAACCAAUAGAAUGAUAAGGUGUCAUAAUAAUUGAAAUUUUUUGCACAUUUCCACGACUACAGUCGUGUAAAUACAUACAUACACGACUGCUAUCGUGUAUGUCGAGUGCAGAAAAAAAUUUGACAACAACUUCAGAUUUUAACGAAUGUAGUUAUAAAAUCCAUCAAAUAACAGUCAUAUGAUGCAAAUGUAAUGAAAAUAUGAGUUGCUUUAGUGUUUAUCACAAACCAAACAAAACCCUAAAAAUAAUAUAAUGUCAACAAAUUGAAUAGAUAGCCCAAAAUAAAAUAAAAAAAAGUUUCAAAUACCUUGUUGAGUACAUAAAAGUACCAGGUCGGCCACGCUACCAUUCCGCACGGAUCGCCUCGGCCAAAGUGAUAUGAGCAGAACACUGAGGCUAACAUGAGCCGACCAGAGAUGAGUACUGACCAGAGGUAUAAGCAGAGCCAAUACUCGUCCCCCAAACAAAAGGCGAAAACACGAUCUCACAGAAUCACGGCAGUUGUGCUUUCCCAGAACCGUGACGGAAGACGCAAGAUCCCACGUUUGCCCAUAAUGCAGCAGUCAGAGUCCCAUACUGUCCCCCAAAAGGCGGAACACGCAAGAUCCCACGUUUGCCCAUAAUGCAGCAGUCAGAGCCCCAUACUGUCCCCCAAAAGGCGGAACACGCAAGAUCCCACGUUUGCCCAUAAUGCAGCAGUCAGAGCCCCAUACCGUCCCCCAAAAAGCGGAAAACUGGGAUUCAGAGGAAGCCUAUAAAAAGGUAGCCAACGAAGGUAAAGGGGUUAGCGAUUUUGAGAUAAAAAGAAAGAUUAAGGAAAUCCUAGAAAAAGGAAACCGACCCAAAAAGCCAUAAAAGUUGUGGCAAGUGUUCCCCAAACCUUGAUAUCUGACUUAGGCGUCGGAGGGUUUGCGCCGGGAAAACAACCGGCGUACUCUGACUUGUCUGUGUGCGCAGGAACCUCAGGAAAAGAAGCCUUACGAGGAGACCUCCCGGUAGUGGUGAAGUUGAUCGAGCAGAGAUCCUGGUCGUAUAAGGAGACCUCCUGGUCGUGGUGAAGUUGAUCGAGCAGAGAUCCUGGUCGUAGAACGAGGAGAACCAGAAUCCCGUAUCAAUAUUUUGGCGCCGUCUAUGGGGAUUUGAAUAAAAAGCUACCACCAAAUCAGUAAGUACCGGAGAAGCAGCGAACGAUCGGAUAUGGAUUCGUCAAGAAAGGAUACUUUAAGGGAGAGCAAUGAAACAGUGGAGACAAUCACUCUCCGGGAGAUUGCAAAUGAAGCCCGGGAGAGGAUGAUGCAAGAUAGACUGGAGCGGAUGGAGAAGCAAAUGGAGACUCUCGCGGCCGUGUUGUUUGAGCUGAGGGACGAGCGGAGAAGGGAUUGUGGAACCCCCGGGGAAAGAGAUGGAGUUAGAGCAGAGCCCAGCCUCCGGGGGCGUAGGGUCGGGGACAUCCCUCCGCCCGCAGACCAACCUAACGGAGUGCAUACCCACCGAAGUACUGGUCGGGUCCCAGGGGAACACGUGGACGAAGGGAGAGACCAACCUCGCCCCGGACGGGUACCGGAAAUAAAUAGCCGAGGGGCCAGUGUUGAUGAAGGAGAGCUCAGACAGCGGUUGCAGAACGUCGAGCAGGAGCGAGACCAGAUAGCUGCACGUGAUCCUGAUCGUGCUAUAGAGUUGGAGGGGGAGGUGCGCAGAUUGGCGCAGGUGAUAGAGGAGAUGCAGGGCAAGAGAAAGCCCCCAAGCUGGAGGAUAAUGCUAGACGAAGAAUCUCCGUUGUCAACAGAGAUCAUGAGUACCAUAAUCCCAAGAGAUUUCCGCUUCCCCGACCUCAAAUACUCCGGGCGAAGUGACCCGUUGGUACACAUUGAGCGCUUCAACGACAUGACGGGUGUGCAGGGGCUGACAUCAGCUCAGAGGUGUAGGGUGCUCCCGUUGACACUAGAGGGACGAGCCCGAGAAUGGUAUCGCAAGCUGCCCCGAGGAGGAAUAAAGGGGUAUGAGCAAAUGUGCCAGGAGUUGGCCGAGCAGUUCCGGGGGGCAGUGGCCCCAGAGGAUGACAUGAUGGAGUUGAUGGGGAUGAAGCAGGAGGAGCAGGAAUCCCUUCGAGAUUUCGUAAAACGAUAUCACCGAGCCGUGCUAGAUUUGGGAGCUUUUAAUCACCCGCAGGCAUUGAAGGGAUUAAAAGAGGGUGUAAGAAUCGGCCGGUUGUGGUAUAACUUAAGAAGCCCCCUCGUACAGAAUUACUCGUCGGGGUAUGAGCAGGCGAGACGGGAUAUAGAAAUCGAAGAGGAGAAAUCAGCAAGAAUUAAAAAUGAACAGCUGGAGGAGCUGAGGCGAAGGGAACGGAGAGCCCCGAAAAUGAGCGGGUCGGGAAAGCGAACUGGGGAAUCCUCAGGGAUGGGCGGAGCAUCAGUUCGAUCUCGCCCUUACCCCCUAGCUCAGAGAGCACAACAGUUCCAACACAGUCGGGCACAACCUCCGCGCCCCCCAAUACCAGAGCAGCAGCGAGAAUUCAGGCAGAUGACAGCCCGCCCUUAUCACCGCACUCCCAGAGCGGUAAGUGCGAUGAACCACAGGUCUGGCCGACCAGAGCAGGUACCGGCUAUAUCAGCCCGAGGUGACAUCCAGGAUAGCCGUGCAGUUCAGUUGGUUGACCAGAGUGCGGCAUAUAGACAAUAUACUCCAUUAAAAAUCUCCAUGGAGGAACUGUAUGAAAGGAUCGAGGGACGAGGACUGUUGUAUACUCCGGCCCCUCUAACGAAACCCGCUCACCGGCGUGAUAAGAACAGGUUCUGCAAAUUCCACAACACUCAUGGUCAUACCAUCAGCCAAUGCCGCGACCUAAGGAUUCAGGUGGAGGAUUUGGUGAGGAACCAGUACUUGGGUGAGUACAUAGAUGGAGUGUCCCCCGUCAGUGAGUCGCAAUAUGCACGGGAUGAAGGAGUUGAAAGGGGUUUGGAACGAGAACAGCCGACUAUCCAGGUGAUAGCAGGAGGGCCCACAUUGGUCGGGGAUUCAAACAGAGCACGAAAAAACUAUGGGAGAUAUGCCAUGACUGGCAAGGAAGUGCUUCUCAAUUUGCCAGCAGCCAAGAAGGCAAAAGUGCGGCAAGUUCCUAUCCUGUGGGCAGAGGAUGACGAAGAGGGCAUUUUGUACCCUCACGAGGAUGCACUGGUAAUCAAAGCAAUGGUAGCCAGUACAGAAUUGCGGCGAAUACUGGUAGACACGGGCAGCUCAGUAGACAUUCUGUUUAAGUCGGCCCUAGAUGAUAUGGGAAUUUCAGAUUUAAAGCUGGAGCGGACAAACACUUCCUUGAAAGGAUUUGGAGGGGGGCGGUUAACUCCCUUGGGGGUCAUUGAACUCCCGAUUACUGUGGGGACAAAGCCGUUUGAACGAACGAUGAUGCUGGACUUUGUCGUGGUAGAGGAAAGAAGCCUUUACCAGAUGAUACUGGGGAGACUAUUCAUGAGGAUAAGCCAAUGUGUAAUGUCCACGCAUUAUCUGGCGCUAAAGUAUAGAAUAAAUGGAGUUGUGGGCGUGGUAAAGGGCGACCAGAGAAUGGCCAGAAGCUGCUAUGCUACAGCGGCCAAGGAAACGCUGCAGGUUACCUCUCUAGAUAACCGAGGGGAUUCAAAAAAUGGUCGUCAGGAACCUGUUGAGAAGCUGGAGGAAGUUGUUAUAAGCAGGAGUGACCCUAGCAGAGUUGUUAAGGUCGGGUCGGAAUUGGGCGAAGCAAUAAAGGCCGAGCUGGUGAAGUGUCUGCAGUCCCAUGCGGACGUAUUUGCCUGGUCUCAUGAGGAUAUGCCAGGUAUUGACCGCGGGAUAGCUUGUCACAAGCUGGCGGUCAAAAGAGGGGCAAGGCCGGUGAGGCAGAAAAUGAGGUGCUUCAACCAUGAAAGGUACGAGGUCAUAAAUGCCGAAGUGGAAAAGCUGCUAAAAGCAGGAUUUAUAAGGGAAGCCAAGUACCCGGAAUGGAUUUCCAAUGUGGUACUGGUAAAGAAGGCCAAUGGGAAGUGGAGAAUGUGUGUAGACUUCACGGACCUCAAUAAGGCAUGCCCGAAUGACAGCUUUCCCCUACCAAAAAUAGAUCAGUUGGUGGACUCAACCGCGGGUCAUGGUCUGCUCAGCUUCAUGGACGCCUUCUCCGGAUACAACCAGAUACCCAUGAACGAGCAGGACGAGGAAAACACUACCUUUAUAACUAACAUGGGUCUGUUUUGUUACAGGAUGAUGCCCUUUGGCCUGAAAAAUGCAGGAGCUACGUAUCAAAGGUUAGUGAACAAGAUCUUCAAACCAUUGAUCGGUCACACCAUGGAAGUAUAUGUGGACGAUAUGAUCACCAAGUCAAGAGAACCGAGAGAUCAUGUGAAGCACCUGGAGGAGACUUUCGAAUUGCUGAGGAAGUACGAAAUGAAGCUGAACCCGGAGAAGUGUGCAUUUGGGGUCGGCUCGGGCAAAUUUUUGGGAUACCUGGUAAGCCAUCGGGGUAUUGAAGCCAACCCAGAAAAAAUACGAGCGGUAAUAGAAAUGAGGUCCCCACGAACAGUUAAGGAGGUGCAGAGCCUUACGGGGAAAUUGGCAGCAUUAAACCGAUUCAUUUCGCGAGCCACUGAUAAGUGCCACCCUUUCUUCCAAGUCAUAAAGAAAGGGAAGAAGUUGGAAUGGACACCGGAAUGCGAGGGGGCAUUUGGACAGCUGAAGGAAUACCUAGCCUGCGCCCCGUUACUAUCGACUCCGAGAGAGGGUGACCAGUUGUUGCUAUACUUAGCAAUCUCUAAGUGGGCUACCAGCUCGGUAUUGGUCAGGGAAGAAGAAGGAAAGCAACACCCGGUAUACUACACGAGCAAGGCUUUGGUAGAGGCGGAAACCAGAUAUCCGCUAAUGGAGAAGUGGGCUCUGGCUUUGAUAACGGCAGCACGCAAGCUCCGACCAUACUUCCAAGCCCACCAGAUCGUUGUGAUGACUGACCAGCCACUUCGGCAAGUGCUUCAAAAACCAGAUGCGUCUGGUCGGUUAGUAAAGUGGUCCAUGGAGCUGAGCGAAUUUGACCUGUCCUACAGGCCCCGAGGAGCAAUCAAGGCACAAGCCCUGGUAGAUUUUAUGGUGGACUGUGUUGAACCGAGGGAAGAGGUCCAAGAGGAACAACCGGCAGAGAAAGAGGAUUCAAAGGGGAUAUGGCUGGUAAUGGUUGACGGAUCACGUAGUGAGCAAGGAUCCGGUGCAGGAGUUGUAAUACGGAGCCCAGAGGGAACCGAGAUAACAUAUGCGGUGAAGUUCGAAUUUCAGCUCACAAACAACCAAGCUGAGUAUGAAGCCUUUAUCGCCGGGCUCGGGCUUGCACACGCUCUAAGAGCAGAAAGGGUAGAAAUCCGAGCAGAUUCCCAAUUGGUAUGUAAUCAACUCAACGAUCAGUUCCAAGCAAGGGGAGAGAAGAUGUGUCUUUAUUUAAAAAAAGCGAAGCAGAUGGUCGGGCUUUUCCGAGAGGUGGAAGUAAAGCAGAUAUCUCGGAAUGAGAAUUACCGAGCGGAUAUGCUGGCUAGGAUGGCUGCAAUUGCAGAUCCAAAAUUGCCUAAGUCGGUUCCACUAGAGUUAAGGACCUCGCCGAGUAUAGAGGAGGAAGUAGAGGUGAUGAGAGUAAGCGCUGAAGAAUCCUGGAUGGAUCCGAUUCGCGCAUAUGUCCGCGAUGGAGUUUUACCAGAGGACAAAAGGCAAGCAAGAAAAUUAAAGUGCCGAGCCGCAAGGUAUACGCUACUGGAUGGAGUAUUGUACCGCCGAGGGUUCACCUUGCCCCUUUUGAGGUGUUUGGAUGAUGAGGAGGCGGAUUAUGUGCUGAGAGAGAUUCAUGAGGGAAUAUGCGGCAAUCACUCGGGAGCAAGAACUUUAGCCUUCAAGGCCCUCCGGCAAGGAUACUUCUGGCCAACCCUGCACCAGGAUGCCAAAAGGAUGGCAAAGAAUUGUAAAACAUGCCAAAGCUUCUCCGAGGUUCCUGCACAACCCCCGGAAAAGCUGACAGCUAUGACAUCCCCAUGGCCUUUCGCUCAGUGGGGAAUCGACUUGAUUGGUCCAUUGCCUAAGGGACGAGGAGCGGCGACACAUGCAAUUGUGGCAAUAGACUACUUCACCAAGUGGGUGGAAGUGAGAGUCCUCAGCCAGAUCACAGAGAGGAAGACGACAGAUUUUAUCUGGAAAAAUAUCAUCUGCAGAUAUGAGAUCCCCUACGCCGUCAUCACAGACAAUGGGAGGCAAUUUGACAACGGCAACUUCAGGGAAUUUUGCCGAAACCUGGGGGUGGACCUGAGGUUCUGCACCCCCGCACACCCCCAGGCAAACGGACAAGUGGAAGCAGCCAACAAGGUGAUAAAGAAGCUCCUAAAGACUAGAUUGGGAGAGAAGAAUGGAGCUUGGGUUGACGAGCUACCAGGAGUACUGUGGGCCUACAGGACAACUCACAAAACCACCACAGGAGAAACACCGUUCGCUUUAGCUUUUGGUCAUGAAGCGGUAAUCCCAGCAGAGGUUGGAGUGGGAACACAUCGAACAGAAUAUUUCACUGAGGAGCAAAAUGACAAGCAGAUUUGCUUAAGUCUGGACCUGCUGGAGGAGAAAAGGGAAGGGGCCUCGCAGAAAGUGGCCCAAUGUCAGCAAAGGGUCAUGCGUUAUUACAACAAAAAUGUACGCGUGAGGCAGUUUCGAGCAGGGGAUUGGGUACUUAGGAAGGUGAACCAGAACACCAGGAAUCCUAACCAUGGGUCUCUCGGCCCAAAGUGGGAAGGCCCAUACCGAGUGAUACGAGCCACUGGACCAGGAGCAUACAAAUUAGCAUGCCAAGAUGGACGAGACGUGAAGAGGUCAUGGAACGCCGAACACCUAAAGAAGUAUUUCCAGUAAGCAGAAUGCUCUCUUAAAUCCUCACUCUGACAAGUUAUUUCUGUUGCAAUGCCUGAUAACCUGUCGCACAUGCAUAUAUUCUAUGUUUUUGAAAUACAUUCGAAUUCCAAUAAAGAUGAAGUCAGCAUGAAAUCCCUCUGCUAGCAAGAUCAAUAAAAAUUCUACUAAGGCAAGUAAGUGCCUAAUUCUGCUCGGUCAACGAAAGACCAGCAGCUAAAUUUAUGAAAUUUUACUAAGGCAAGUAAGUGCCUAAUUCUGCUCGGUCAACGAAAGACCAGCAGCUAAAUCUAUGAAAUUUUACUAAGGCAAGUAAGUGCCUACUUCUGCUCGGUCAACGAAAGACCAGCAGCUAAAUUUACGGAAUUUUACUAAGGCAAGUAAGUGCCUACUUCUGCUCGGUCAACGAAAGACCAGCAGCUAAAUUUAUGAAAUUUUACUAAGGCAAGUAAGCGCCUACCUCUGCUCGGUCAACGAGAGACCAGCAGCUAAAUUUACGAAGUUUCUACUAAGGCAAGUGCCUACUUCUGUUCGGUCCACGAAAAACCAGCAGCUAAUUCUAUAAAAAUUCUGCUAAGGCAACAAGUGCCUACUUCUGCUCGGUCAAAGAAAGACCAGCAGCUAAAGCUUCGAAGAUUUUACUAAGGCAAACGGAUGCCUAUUCCUGUUCGACGCACCAAAGAACCGACAGGCAAAACCAGACAAGAAAGCCAAUAGAGAGCGUUCAAAAAUUUUUAUAAAUGUUCAAUCGUUUACAAAACAAAUGCAAAUUUAGAGUUUAUACAAAAAAUAAGGUCAAAGUUUAGCAGAGUCAGCGGCUUCAGCAGCUGAAGGAUCAGCGAGCUCGGGAAGUAAGGGAUCAGCAAUAUCAGGAGGUGGGAGAUCAGCAACGCCGGGAGGAGGAGGCAUGGACCCUUGACCCACUUCGAAAGUGCGUCCCCCAGCUUCCCCCUCUUGCACCCCAUCCAAAGGGGCCUCCACCUGCUCCUGCUCGCCCUGCUCCGUAUCUGAGUGGUCGACCUGCGCCAUAUACCGCUGCACUCCGGCCUCCAGUUUGCUCAUGUCCAUCUCGGGAUAUUCUGUCUUAAGCACAGACAUGAUGCACUUGUAGGAGAAGGCAACCCCAGAAUCAUACUCGGCAUCCAGCCGAUCAUCCACAUCAGCGGAUUUGCCCUUCUCCUCAGCCAGCUGCUCGCCCAAGGAUCUGAUUUCCCCCUCAAGGGCGGCCCUCAAAGUAUCCCUUUCAGCUUGAGUAGCCUGAAGAUCAGAUCUCAGGUCACCCAGCUCGCCCUCGAGUUUGGAGGAAGUGGAUUCAGCAACCGCGACUUUCUCCUCCAGCUCCGUAAUUUGCUUGUUCAGCUCGGCUAGUUUCUCCUUGGAGCGGUCAGCAGAUUCAGCUUUAUUUUUCAGCUCUUGAUUGUCAGCUUGAAGCUUCUUCUCAUGACGCGCGGACCCAGUCUUGUAACACGAGACCAUUGUGGCCAAUCUGAAGGAGACUCUCUGAACAGAGGCAGCCAACUCGGAGAGGCUCAUGCUCUCGAUGUCAUUCACCAGCUUGGGCCCAACCGACCUUUUAUAAUCCUUCUGAUACGGACUUAGGUAGUCACCUUGAUCCCGAGAUGGAAGAGGAGAAGAUCGGUCCCCAGACUGCAAGCUGACCUCAGGACUCUUGUCGAAAGUUUUCUCCCCACCACUCUUACGAGAUGGAGGAGGGGGCAGAGCAGGAACAGGCGCCUUGGAAGGACCAACGCUAGGUCUCUUCGGAGGAGGAGGAAGAUUGCUGGAGCUACUCGGGCCCCGUCCACGCUUCCUGCUCAUCGCGCUGAGGAUCUUGUUAUUCAUCCCGGCAGCUAUGUCCACUAAGCCCGAGCCGACCAGACUUGUUGGUGACAGGAGGUCUUGGCAGGUAGACGCGUUCAAUAGAGCCGUUUCCACCUGAAGCAAAGGCCGAUCUUCAAGCCCCCCGACCAGACCCCACGACUCUGAAAUAGCACAGAAGGUUAAGGAACCCAAUAAGUAGCAAUCUAAUUAAGAAUAUAGGAAAAAAUGAACGACCUGGGGUGACAAACUGGGUGGGAAGAUAAAUGUCCCCACCAAGCGACCGAACCGCUGGACACCAAUUCCCUCCAGCAAAGAAGAAUUUGUUCUUCCAAUUUUUACAGGAAGAUGGAAACCCGGUGAUCGGUUUCCUCUUUGCGGAACUGGACAUGAAAUAGUACCAGCCUGCCUCCCUCGGGCUACUCCGCAGCUGGUACAGAUGUUUCACCUCAACAAGAGAAGGCUCCUCCGACCCGCACCUCUCCCACAACACAAACAUUGCCGAAAGAACCCUCCACCCAUUUGGGUGUAGCUGACCUGGGGCCAGGUGCAUACCGCCCAGUAUCUUGGCAAAGUAAGGUUGAAGGGGCAGCCGAGCUCCUAGUCUGAAACUCUCCAAGUGCAUCGUCACAUACCCUUUCGGAGGCCGACUAGGGACAUCACCUUUUCCAGGAAUUACAAGAAGAACCUCGUUGGGGAUGUUGUAAAGGUUCCUAAGUUUAAAUAGAUCAGUGGGGGUGGUGGCGCAAGCCAUGAAAUCAAUAGGGUAGGAAUCAGCCUCCACCCUGUGGCCUAGGUACCUUUUCUGAGCAGGUCGGCUCGGUCCGGAACUGCUCCCCUCACUAUCGCCAACUCCUUCAGGGAUCCCAACCCCACCAGAACUGUGGUUUUCACCAGAGCCCGACGCAGGUCCGCCCCUAUUCCCUACAAGCUCUAGCUCGGGGGAAGGAGAAAUAACCAAAGGGCGUGGGUAUUCAAGGGUAUCCCUGCCAUGGGCAGGACCUACGCUACUGGAGGGGCCUAAGUAAUCAGUGGGUAUUGGCACAUUGAGGCCUGCGUCCCCUGACUCUUCGUCGCCCUCAUCUAUAAUCAACUUCUUUCUCCGAUUCGACAUACCGGAAUCCCAAAGGAAAACCAAAACAAACCCAAGUACACGAAUACAAAAAGGGGCAACACAGAACCCAAUCAACAACAGCCAAAGAAGAGGUUAAAGGCAAUACCUGGAACAGACUGACACUGAUAGCGCUGCCGUGACAGAGAAAACACCCAGCCAAUGGAUACUCCGGACGCUGGAAAUGUGAGCAAAGUUCAGAGAAAAUUUUGGUUAACGGCGGAGAAACGAGUAACAAGAUGAUAAUGACUCCAGUCUAGGGAUUUGAAACGAAAAGGCGGAAAUGGAAGCAUUUAAGUGAUGGGAUAUGCCAGCUCACCCCCCAUAUAUCGAGGACUGAUAGCCCGUCGUUUCAAAUUUCAAAUACGAAGGGUCGGGAAGCGCCACGUCACCAACCGUUACAAGAGGCCAGGAUAGAUGUAAGCCCAGUACGCGAUGGACAUGCUCCUUUAGGCCCAUGCUCGAGUCAGAGUCGCCCCAGAAGAAAAACGGUACCUCAGGUCCACCCCAGCAAACAAAGGACCAGAUGAGAAGUUCCCCGGUUGGCGAGAUUUGACCAUCAGUUUCUACUCUUCACUCAUUUCACUCGCCAGACCAGAAACUGGGGGACUGGUGUUGAGUACAUAAAAGUACCAGGUCGGCCACGCUACCAUUCCGCACGGAUCGCCUCGGCCAAAGUGAUAUGAGCAGAACACUGAGGCUAACAUGAGCCGACCAGAGAUGAGUACUGACCAGAGGUAUAAGCAGAGCCAAUACUCGUCCCCCAAACAAAAGGCGAAAACACGAUCUCACAGAAUCACGGCAGUUGUGCUUUCCCAGAACCGUGACGGAAGACGCAAGAUCCCACGUUUGCCCAUAAUGCAGCAGUCAGAGUCCCAUACUGUCCCCCAAAAGGCGGAACACGCAAGAUCCCACGUUUGCCCAUAAUGCAGCAGUCAGAGCCCCAUACUGUCCCCCAAAAGGCGGAACACGCAAGAUCCCACGUUUGCCCAUAAUGCAGCAGUCAGAGCCCCAUACCGUCCCCCAAAAAGCGGAAAACUGGGAUUCAGAGGAAGCCUAUAAAAAGGUAGCCAACGAAGGUAAAGGGGUUAGCGAUUUUGAGAUAAAAAGAAAGAUUAAGGAAAUCCUAGAAAAAGGAAACCGACCCAAAAAGCCAUAAAAGUUGUGGCAAGUGUUCCCCAAACCUUGAUAUCUGACUUGGGCGUCGGAGGGUUUGCGCCGGGAAAACAACCGGCGUACUCUGACUUGUCUGUGUGCGCAGGAACCUCAGGAAAAGAAGCCUUACGAGGAGACCUCCCGGUAGUGGUGAAGUUGAUCGAGCAGAGAUCCUGGUCGUAUAAGGAGACCUCCUGGUCGUGGUGAAGUUGAUCGAGCAGAGAUCCUGGUCGUAGAACGAGGAGAACCAGAAUCCCGCAUCAACAUACCUUAUUCAUGGGAUGAAUAAUACACCCAGCUGCAAACAAACUCAGUGCAUUAGCUGUUUGUGAGUGAUUUUGAGUGUGGUGUGAGUUUUUGUAUAGGUGAUAAAUACGUAAGAAGCAAAGAGUGUUGUGAGUUGUGUGUGUGUUUUAUAUUUUUCUUUAGGGAUAUUUUAGACAAUAUACCACAUAAAAAGGCAUACUUAGAUAAUUUUCAAACAUGGGGUAUAUUUAACUAAAUACACUACUUUUAAGGCAUAUUUAAUUAAAAACCCCCAGAAGAAGUGGUCACGAUUUAGUUUAGAGUGUUUAGACUUUACUCACUUUAGGGAUUCCGGUUGUUAUUCGGUUUAUUUGAUAAUCGGUUCGGUUUUUCGGUUUUUUUUUUUAAAAUCGAAAACCGAACCGACUGGUUUUACUAUUAUUACUAUAUUACUUAUUCGGUUUUUUGGGUGUAAAAAAACCGCAAAAAAACCGAACGGAACCGAACGGUUCGGUUCGAUUUUUGAUUAACCAACUUUUUUUGCCCACCCCUAGUUGUGAUAGUUUUGCAAAUAAAAGUAAAAACUUUUUCCCUAAAUUCGGCUGAGCUAAAAGCAAGCUUAGCCCACACUCUCCUUCGCCACCGGUUGACGAGCUCUUCCUUCAAAUUUUGAACUUGAAGUGAUGCCCCAUCGAUGUCCAGAAUUUUUAAAGUCUCCCCAUUGUACAUGUACGUUGACGUGUUUAAUUGAUGUUUAUUUAAGCAGAAAUUGAAGUUUGAUCCUGAUUAAGUAAAUGAGAUCACACAUUCAUGAGUAAUUACUUAAAAUUAAAUUAAUCAAAAUAGUAAAUACGCGAGAAAAUGGAUCAUAUUCGUGCAGACACCACAAUCGAAUUAUAUAUAUCACCGCCGCACAUAAAUCUUAUUCCAAUGAUAUAUGAUUAAUUAAUUAUUUUUUUUAAUAACAAUUAAAUUGUAAUGUCAAUUGUCCACAUAAGAUUUUUUUGUUGUUGAUGAAAGUAAUUUUUUCCAUCUUUUGAAUAAUAAUUGUUAAUACAAAUCAAAAAGAUAUUGAGACUUGAAAUCCGGGUCUACUUGAGUUAGAAUUUUUUAUUAGAAAAACUAUUAGCCAACGAUUUAAAAAUAAAGAAGCAACACAAGAUAAAAAGUAAAAUGAGAGAGCAUAUAUUAUAAAAAGAUUUUACCCAUUCCAAGUGUGUACCAAACAAAGAGAUGAAUUUUCCUUUUAUAGUUACAUCAUUAUUAUAUAAAAUUAAUGAAAACAUUAUGAAUUAUAAUUCUUUGCGAGAUAGUGGGGGUUAUAGAAAAGUCAAGAGUUGCUAGUGAAAAAUAGUAGAAAGACUAAAAGAUAUAUAUUAUGAAUAUUUAUAUUUAUUUUAAUAAAUUCAUAAUAUUUUUUCCUUAAAUAAUUGGAAGGACCGAAGGAGUUUACGUGUGUGUAUAUAUAUAUAUAUAUAUAUAUAUAUGGACAUAAAAAUUGCAGGACGUGUAUUCUAGCGUUUCUUGGUUGUUCAGUGCUAGUUUUUAAAACCUCGAGCACGCGGGUUAUUUUUCGUUACCCUUAUCACCGAAAGGCUGUUUUAACCAACUAAAAACUUAAAGCUAAAACCCAAAACGCUCCUCUUGUUCGUUUCCGGGGACUUCACCUUGAUGGCCGAAAAGCAACUGGAAAUCCUCCGCGGGUACGAGCUGCGGCUCUUGCGCCACACCCUCGCUCCCCCACCGUCCGAUCUUCGCAUUCAAUCGCAACCGUUGAACGAAGAAAGCCAAUGCUCUCUCCUUCCACUCCACAAGCACAUCAACAGCCUCAUCGACUCCAUCGAGUCCGGCCACUAUCUCCAGGCUCUGUCCUCCGACGCGGCUGAACUCGUGCUCGACACGCUCGACUUCGUCGACAUCAACGACUCUGCCGACUGUGCCGACCGCGUCUACUCCGAGCUGCUCCAGCUUGUCGAAGCGUUUAUAGUGAACGAUUCCGAAAAUGACGUGGAUAAGGCUUGUCGAGUUAUUCUGCUCAUGUGUCUUUCAAUUGCUGCUCUUUUUUGGUUCACUCAGUGUAACGUGACUGGGUGAGUUUCUUAUUUAUAAAUUUUUAAAUAAUUGCAAUUAAUAUAAUAAAUAUUAGUAAAAAAAAAAAAAAAAGGUUUAGUGAUGAACGUUUGAACUUGAAUUAAUAGAGGCCUUUAGUUGAUAAUUCGCCAAAGUGUCGGUUUCCACUAGAAGUUUAAACUUUAGAAGGCAACGAAUUGAUAGAGUGGGAGAAUUGGGCGCGUUAUCAGCUCAUUUCUGUUGGCUCUGACUUGCUGGGAAAGUUCUCCUAUCUUCAGGUACUCAGUCUAUCGAAAAAUGAACAGAUUCUAUUGCUUAGACAGUGUUAAUGUUAAUAUUAUCUUUUUUAACUUAUUUUACAUUUUGUGAUCUUUUUGUAAUAUAUAGUUUUUACCAAAAUGUUGAUCAUGAAGACAAAAGAUUUGCUGUCUGAUGCAACUGUGUUGCCUGUGAAUGGGAUUAGAACCAUUUCAUGGUGGCUCACAAGACUCCUACUUAUGCAUCAAAGGAUUUUAGACCAGUGGCCGUCUUCUUUGUAUGAUCUAUUGAAAGUUUUUAUGGCUGAGACUUUACAACACUUUGGCACUUUGGAAAAUGUUAGUACUUAUUGGGGCAACCAGUUGCAUGAUAUCGAUCCUUCAGAGAUUGUUUCAACAUUUCAUUGAAAAGCUAGCUGAUGAGAUCAACAUGUCCCUUAAGUAAUUUGAGGAUGAACACUGUGUUCCCGAAAGUCUUACUCUAAUGAUACUUGAAGAAGCAAUGAGAAUGGAUGUUGCAGC